CCUUUUUUUGUGAACGCGCCUCUACACCCGUACGAUGGGCCGCGCCCGUGUGAACGUCCAAGUUAUUGGUGCAUCAUCCCGAGUUAUUGUCUUUUUUCUGGGGUGGACUUCACACCAGUUAUUAACUACUGACGCGUGCCCCGUGUACACAGUCUCGCAUGACCUUCCUGCUAGCACGGUCCAAAAUUAGUUGAAACUGGAUACGAACGAUCCCGCGGGCGGCAAAAUCUCCCGCCUCCUUCUAAAUUUUUUGCCACCUAGUCUUUAGCAUGUGAAAUUCCCCUUUUGUCCUCAGUGCACGGAGACCAACAGUUACAAUACCGCCCUCAUCUACAUAAUAGGUCGGGGCUUCUUUGGUAACUUCCGCCCCCCACCACACGACACCCCCAUUUCCUCUCCCCUCCUGCAAAAAUGACUAACUCCACAACACCAGAGCAUCCUGCAUCACGUCGUCCGUACUUCAUCGGCCUUUCUACCCCUCCCCUCUUGUCGUGGAAUUAUCAUGUCAGAUGUCCUAGUGAAAGGACUUAGUCAUGGAGCCAUCGCAACUAGGAAGCUUAAAGGGGUUAAUCGAGACAAAGGACACGUGGUUUAUAUUGGUUCGGCCCCUUACGGUGAAAGUAAAAGCCUACGAUCUAGUUUUGAGUGGGAUUGCUUAUGUCUCGAUUACCAGGGAGUGAAAUCACUUGACCUAGCUCUCGAUCUAAUAUUACUUGCCCUGAACCGCUGCAAGGUCAUCCCUUUAUAUACAGAGGUCGACACCCAGCGGCUUACAGAGUCCCGGCCGGCUCAUAAACAGUGUCUGGCUCGGUCUCUUAACUAUUCUUGCCUUACAAUACAAGUUAUGUAUAUAUGGCGGUUUAUCUCUAAGGGCCUUAAGUCGUCUCUGGGCUUUGGGCCCUUAACUGAACCGCCAUCUUCGAGCUUGGUCUUGGGCUUCAAGGGUACGCAUAGGUAUAACCCGGCCCCUCCUAGGUAGGUUAUACCUAAUAGUUAUAUCCCCAACAUUAGGCCCCAGAUUGAUUUGAACUGGUUCAUGUCAAUCUUCGACACUUAAGAAAAAAUCUUCUGCCCUUUGCUUAAGAAAUUUUUGUAACCCGCCAUGACGUCAUCCGUUGGAUUUGUGGUAACCCGCCAUGACGUCACCUGCCACAAAUGCACGUUUCGUCCAACAUAUCUCAACGAAUCUUUAUCUUAAUGACCAUCCUGAAAAUCAAGGCGUCCUUGCAGCUGGAUAACUAUGUCUUUGGCCUCCUCGUUUUUCGCGCCCACUUAUCAGUCUUCCCUUAUAAAUAGGCACGACUAGGUCUCUUCUCAUUCUCCCCUUUCCUCAUCUUCUUCCUCCCGUAACCCUACUGCCGCUCGAGCUCCGCCGCCGUCACAGCGCACCUUGUCUUCCUCAACCUUGGCCGCUUCAUCAACCUGAAUCAGUCCAGAGAACGGCGACGACUCUCCGCAGUAGAUCUGCAGCUGUAAGUCUUCGCCUUUCUGCACCUUAGAUCCGCAUUAGGGUUUGUGAGUUCUUCUAUAUUCUUUGCUGUUCAUCAUGGGUUCUUCGUAGUUUCUCCACCGCUGCCUCUUUUGAUCCAAAAGAAGUAUGAAACUCAUGCAGUAGCUGUUUCGCGUCCAUUUUAGACACCAGCAGAUCCCUUUUUCUUGUAAAGAAGCCUCAUUAGAACUCAUGAACUCGUUCGUACCACAUUUUUAGGUCUAGAAUAUUUUCUUUUCUUAACAGUCAUUUGAUCCAAAAUAAUAGUUGCAACCUGUGAAACUUGUUUAUACAAUACUUAGGCAAAAAACUGUAAUUGUUAGAUCCACCUAGCCAUGGCGACUCUUAUCACCGGCUUAAAAAGGCAAUGCUCAAUUGAUAAUCUUGACCACUCAUGGCGGUUUAAGCGGCUUAAAUAAUUUGACAUAAUUAGUCUUAUACCAUUAGACCCCUUUAUAAGCCGCCAUCUUGAAUAUGCACUAUAAUGUUUUUCUCUGGCUUAAAUUUGAGCCAGAAAUUUUUAUUCUUUCUUAGGCUUUCAUCACAAUGGCACCCAAGCCACCCACUUCCUUCAACUGGGUCAAAUCCAUCGUCACAAACAGUACGCUUGAUGACUUUGUGAAGACCGGCUAUUUGUCGAAGAAGGAGGUUAUGUCCUAUCGUGUUCUUGACCCGGCAGAGGAAAUUCCCCAGCCCAAAGCAGGGGAAGUCAUCAUUUUUACUGACCACAUGAACCGUGGUUUUUCACCACCCGGCUCAAAAUUCUUUAGAGACGUCCUGCACUUCUUUGACCACCGUCCUCAAGACACCGGACCCAAUUCCGUGUCUAACAUUUGCAAUUUUCAAGUGUUCAACAAGGUAUAUCUUGGAGAAGAACCCAGCUUGCUACUCUUUAGAGAGUUAUUAUACUUGAACCGCUAGAACGAGUGUGCCAACGGACAAAGCUUGGAACUUGGCGGUGUCUCAAUCCAACGUCGGAGAGACGUAAUUUUUCCUUAUUCUAACCCACCAAGUCAUCCCAAAGACUGGAACUAGACAUGGUUCUAUUGUCAAGACACUUCUCCGGCUAAUGAAAAUCCUCUGCCCGGCUUUCGUGCUCUGCGCCUGGAGUCCAAACAUCCACUUCCUGACAAGAUAACAGCGGCCGAACGCAAGACGCUUGCCUCCACCCUGGCUAAAAUCAAGGCUCUUCUGAGGAACGGGCUAAAUGGUACUGAUUUAGUCCGGGUUUGGCUCUCCUGGCGGGUCAUUCCAUUGAGUCACCGCCCCGGCCUGAUGUGCACCUACACAGGCAAGAAAGAUGAUCCUCUGCGGCACAGUUCUGACGAUUUUCCUGACCACAUCAUCAACGACAUGACCAAGACCCUCCUAAAUGAAAGCUGAGCAAACUAUCAUUUUCAAGUCCCACAUGCAAGGAUGAAGAGGUAACUAUCAUUUCCUCUGACUCCGAGCCUUUGCCAAGACACAAAAUCCAAAGAGUAACCCAGAACAUAAGAUUUUCACAUCCCUUAGCUUAUCAAGAUCCUCAAUUUCUUUUGAAGUGACAGAUUCAUGAGAGCCGGUGGAAGACCCGGAUCAGCAAGGAUACGGAACUCUCCUCCGGCUUACCGAACACUCCAAGGAAGCGCCAGAACGAGGUCACCUCCGAUUUAACUCUCUUUUAUCCUUUGGCGGGUCUCAUUCGUCAACCACUCAACUCUUCUGACACGAAUUAUAAGGAAACUUCACCUUCCUUCGGCGACUCAAUGAAGUCCAAUUUGUCGGCUUUCAAGACAGCUCUAGGGUAAUGAUAACCUGCUUAUCCUGUGUUUGUCUCAAUUCAUUGUAUUUGCGCUGGCCCUUUGAUCUUAUGCAGCAGAAAAGCAAAGACCAACAAAAAGGUGAAGAAGAACAAACCGGCCGAAGAGCUGAUCUUCAAAGAGAUGGAACUUGGAACGGCCGCACCUGAAACCUCAACUCAUGAGCCGCCACCUGAGCCAGCUCAUGACACGCCAAUACCAAUUGCUGAUCCGCCUACCGAGCGAGCCGCCGAUGGCUCUGAAAACCCGAAAGUCCCUAGCCCGGCCAGGACGGAUGAUCCUCAAGACCCUGAUGUCGAGAUCACCAAGACUGGCUACAUUGAGCCGGGGAGGCCAACUGUGCUGGCCAAAUGUUCCGCCAAAGAGGAGCUUCUGGAAUGCCGCAGGGUCAAGCUUUAUGUUGCUGAUUAUACUCAUAUGAGUAUUGGGUAGGUUUUUUCUGGCUAUCUGAGCCAAGUACACAGCAGCCGUGACGUUGAAAUUAAUAUGGUGAAGCAGAUGCACCAGAAGUUUGAGGUACAAUCCCUUCUCUUUACUAAUUUAUCCUUGUUAUGCUAGCCCCCAAGUCUAUUGCCUAUGAUGAAUAUGUUGUAGACUUAAAAACAAGCUUAAUAACAUUAGUGAUAUAUUUGGAUAACAUGUAAGAAACCGGCUUACUCCGUAGUCCCCAAGGGUCGGCUUAAUCAACAUGGUUGAGCCGGUCCUUCAUAUGCUUGUGUAGAAUAAACACUUGAAGAACUUUAACAACAAUAUGCAUUAGCCCCCAAGUGCCAAGUACUCUUGCUUGCAAAGUGCUUGGGACUUACUCUCAUGAACCGCCACUGAAGUAAAAUUCUUUGGUAAACAUUAGCCCCCAAGUGCCAAGUGUUGUUGCUUGCAAAAGGCUUGGGACUUAAUAUUGUAAGAUAAUAGUCAUGACUUUGACCCGGUAUUUGUACAUGCCACCACCAGUCAAUUUGAAUCAGAAAUAUAUGACCUGAAGAACCGCCUAGAAGCACAAGAGAUGGAAACCCAAAGAGCCAACUCCAAGUUUUAAUUCAGUAUAUCUGAACAAGAGAAACUGAAAAAAGACUUUGAAAUGGAGAAGAAGGCUUAGGCUAACGAAAAGAUUGCUUUGAUUAAUCGAGCUGAGAAAACAGAGGCGGCUCUUGAAGAGAUGACCAUCGAAUUAUUCGGCUUAAAACGCCAUGUCUCUCAGAUGGUCUUAGCAAUCUUUGGUAAGUCACCCAACAAGUGUCAAAUAUUUGAAUCUUUCUAGUAAUCAUAUAAAUUGUCAUUAACUCACCUGACAUUGCUAUGGAGGCCCCAGCAGUUCAAAUCUUAAUCAAGAUAUGCUGAUCAAGUUGAAGGUAGUUUACACGCUGGUGGAACAACUCUACACCAGGUCUCAGCGUGCCUUGGUCACAGUGGCCCUGUCAAAUGAAGUGCCCACAACUCCUGGUGGAUGUGCUAAGGAAACUCUUUGUGCUGCCCCAGCGAUUCACUGAACUAAGGCAAUCAUCUGCAAGAGCCGGAGCCGUGGCUGCCUUAAGUCGGGCCAAAGCUUGGCUACCGGAGUUAGACCCGGCCGACAUCGCCAUUGGUUAUCCCAGCCUUAAGGAGGAUGGCAUUCCCUUUGAACAGGAAGACUUUUCCACUUGUGUGAAGGAGAUACGCCCCGUGGCCACCCUGAUAGCUGAUGAAGCAGAUCUCACCAAGUACCAGCCGGGUUAUGACACGGAGAAUUCCAACACCACAUUAUAAAGUGACCAACCUGAUCCCUCCACUCCGUAAGCAUACCUUCGCCCCUGAAGCUAACCCGGCCGAACUAAUUAAUGAUGAAGCUGGAUUUGAAGCUUUGAAUGGCACUGACUGGUCAUCAUCAACCUUCCAGGAAAGGGAACAUGGCGAAGAAGCAGAGAGGGCUGACCCAGACGGUUCAGGUCAACAUGAGAAUUAAUCCACCAGGCGGCUCACACCUGUGAUGUGCUGAAAAACAAUAGUAAUCAUUUGGUCUCAGGGAGUCAUGUAAUAGAGUAGAAAUAACUUUGCUUUGUCGUGUCAUCAUGCAUGUUUUUGGUUCUCAAUACUAUUAAGCCGCCAUCUUAUGUUCACCCAUAUUAAACUUAUCAUCUGUUUUCCGCAUGCUUGAGCAAGUCUUUUAACGGUCCUGCACACAGAAAUAGAUCACAAGAUCCCUUGGCGGAUUACCGCAAGGCGGGUCAUAAUAUCUUGACAUAUAACCAUUAAGAUGGAAAAAGAAUCACAGAUAAGCCUGUUGUGACAUAUAAUUUUGAAACACAACUAUAAUAUCAUACCCGUGAUCUUUGAUUUGUACUGCCGGUUUAUAUAACUCAAACAGUAAGGGUGAUAACCCAAUCAUUGGAAAUUAACACUUCCAGAGAUACGAUGAUUCUCAUAUGUUGUCGACUUAUCAUCCAAGAUCAAGCCGGGUUAAAUUUAAACCACACUUACACUUAGAUAUUUUAACAAAAAAGUCUCAAAUCAAAACAAUAGCUGCUUCAAAUAAAACUUAAACCAAAUAGAAUGAAAAAAUUCAAGGCUUCUGAUUCGAAUACGAUUAGUAAACCGUUCCAAAGGGGUUAAGCUAGGAUUCGAAUACGAUCAUAUAGCCCCCAGUGGCUUUGGCGUUGCACCGAUCAAGAGGGUACCGAUAGCUAUGUUCUCUUUGGUCCGAAUACGACCUAUGUUUGAACAGGAAGCCCCCUAAUGACCUUGAGAGUUUUUUAACGACUCUGAUUCAAAUACGAUCAAAGUCGGACCCAAAAGGGGUUAAGCUAUGAUUCGAAUACGAUCAAAGUCGGACCCAAAAGGGGUUAAGCUAUGAUUUGAAUACGAUCAAGAAGCCCCCUAGCGAGCUUGGCAUUGUGCCGAUCAAGAGUGUACUGACAGCUAUGUUCUCUUUGGUUCGUCUAUCGGCGUACUAGAGCCCAUUCACUGCCAGCGGUAUCCACCUCGCCGGACCUGCUUCUGUGGCCGCAUAUAACCCUUCCACCUCCCCUAGAAACAAGUAGACUGCUCAUCCACCACUGUACCACAACCUAUUCAGUGUCGGCCUUGUCCACGGCAUUGGAUCUGCUUCGCCGGUACUCUCGUCAACCGUAGCGCAUCUGCAGCGGCCCAUUCGUACUCCCCAUCAGAGAUGCUUCGUCCACACCCGCCGGAGCCGCCCCACCGAUGCCCCCGUCGGCGACCUCUGAUCCUCUUCGCCGACACCUUCCUCAACCCUACCGGAGCUACUUCACCGACACCAUCAUCAACCCUACCGGAGUAGCUUCGCCUAUACCAUUCUCAACCCUACCGGGGCCGCUUUGCCAACUCACAAGUCCACGGCCUCAGAUCUACUUCCUCGCACCCUCAUCCAACCUAUCGGAGGAGCUUCUGACGCCCCGUCCACGGUCGCAAAUCCGCAUCGUUGACACCAUCCUUAACCCAACCACCUGAGCAGCUUCACCGACGCCCUCGUCCACGGCCACAGAUCCUUCGCCCACACUGUAGUCCACCCUACCGGAGCCGCUCCACAAACACCUUACUCGACGGUUCUAGAUCUCCAUACCGGACCCCGACAGCUAGCGCAGCGUCAUCACCCUUGACGUUUCUGACCGGAUUCCUACCAUCUGGCAAGAUGCCAAGCACCCGCCACGACCUAGGUACUUGUCACCUUUAAACCCGUCCAACAUCACCUGCCCGAUGUACUUCAAAUAUACUAACAGGUCGCUGUUACAUGUUAUGCAGUUGGCAAAAACUACAAGGACGAUGUUUCUUCUGGAUCUAACAGCUUGGCCAACUAAGAUCCUGGACUGAGGCAUUGCUAUGAUCUUGUAAGUGCGUCUCUCUCUCUCUCUCUCUCUUGUAUUGUUCUGUGCCUGACGGCGUGCUUUGCUAGGAUUUUCGACCAGUAAUCCCUUUGUGCAGACAAUGAUUUCUACUACUGGCUGCCAAAUUAGAUAUGUAGAUGUCAUAGAUGAUACUACCUUGUACCUCCGUUCCAAAAUAUAAGUCUUUCUAGAGAUUCCACUAUAGGCUAAAUAUGGAGCAAAAUGAGUAAAUCAACACUCGAAAAUGCAUCUAUAUACAUCUGUAUGUGGUCCAUACUGGAAUCUCUACAAAGACAUAUAUUUAGGAACAAAGGAAGUACAUUACACAAAAUUGUAGGUGGCAUGUAGGAACUCCAGUGCACUACAUUAGGCUCACUUAGAGUGCCUACUAGUCCAGCACACAGAGUCAUGGCUAGUUUAUGCUACGCACACAAUCAUUACUUGGUGGUUUAAAUAUGCGCAAGGGAUAUGCAAUGUAUUAUCAUGUAGAGAUGUCUGAAACUAGCCGUGUCAACUUGCAGAUAGGGUUACACAAUGAAAAAGUACAAGAUGUAUGUGGGAAUUUCAUGGAACAUCACAAAAAAAGGAGAGGCAGCGGUGAGCCUAUACAGUGUGCUAUGGUAGGUCACUCCUCCGUUGCAAUCAUCGUGACAUGUUAUUUGUAUGUCAGUUCUAUUGGCCAAGUUUCUUAGGGAUAAUUAUUAUGAGUUAUCCUAAGAAAAUAAGCACCUGUGAAUAUAAGCUCCAUGUAAUAAGCCAACCAGUUCUUUCAUUGCCUUCCUUUUCAGCUUAUCUUUGGUAUGAUCAGUGAGAAGUCUAGAUUGCAUUAUAUUUUUUCAUUCUGCUGCCCAUAUGAAAAUUAAUUUGACUUGCAAACAUCACAAAUUGAACCCAAUGCAGUAAUUAAUAUGAUAGGAAAACAGACCAUCACUAUUUGUUCAAAAUGCAAAUACAAAGAUACCAUCUACUUGGCACAAUCUACUUUGGUCAAUGUCUUCCAUAGAGAUCCCAUUGCCUAAUUUAAACGAAGAAUGCAUGACCCACAUUUAAAUGAAGAACAAUUAUUUAUUGAAAUUCAAUGGUCCAAGUGUCUUGUUAUUAUCAUAUAGCAGCACCACCUGAAAGCAUCAUAUAGCAGCAGCAGCUCAUAGCAACUCAUCAUACAGCAGCAUCAACAGUGUGCAAUUCAUCAUAUACCAGCAGUAGCUCAUAGCAAUUCAUCAUAUAGCAGCAACAGGAGCAGCUCAUGGCAAUUCAUCAUAUAGCAGUAGCAGGAGAAGCUCAUAGCAAUUCAUCAUACAACAGCAGCAGGAGCAGCUUAUAGCAACUCAUCAUAUAGCAGCAACAUCUCAUAGAAAUUCAUCAUAUAGCAGCAGCAGCUCAUAGAAAUUCAUCAUAUAGCAGCAGUAGGAGCAGCUCAUAGCAAUGCAUCAUAUAGCAGCAGCAGAAGUAGCUCAUAGCAAUUCAUCGUAUAGUGGAUCAGAAUGAAAAUUUGGCAAAAAAAUCAGAGGAGAUCUUCACCUUGUAGGAUGUGCUCAUCCCUUAACAGCACCUCAAGGCCACAACCUUGGAGGAGGGGAGGGGGAAUAAGGUGCCUUCUGCCGUAGUGUGGCAUCAGCUGUAGUUGUGCGGCGCCCGUCGGAGUAGUGCGUUGGACGGACCACAGUGGAGCAGCUGCCGGAGACCAUGAGAAUGAGGGGCGACUCCAUAGGGAGGAGCAAGCGGAGAGAUUUGCCCCUACCUGCCGGCCAUGUAGCCUAGCUGGACAGAGCAUCAUUAAGGACCAGGCCAGAUGGUACCAGUGGUGAUGGCUCGCUGGAGGAACCCUAGUGCUCCAGGCAGGGGAUCAAGGUGGAGGGAAAGGGGAGAGGAGAUGCAAGUGGGCAGGGCAAUGAAUGCUUCCUUGUUUGUUUUUACUUGAGGGUCAGGUGUGACGCAGGCGUGAGCAGUUGCAUUUUGAGUGUAAUAUAGGAAGACAACAAAGUCAUUUCACUAUUCCCCUUCCGUUCAAUUUUUAGUGAGGUUCUACCUAAAACACCCCCUCCAAAGCGAAAUAAGUUAAGCCCAAGCCCAUAACUCAAAAAUGACUUCUUUACAUCGUUUAUGGCUUAUUUUGACAAUAAGCCCUGAAAAGGUGGAAUCGAACUGGCCCUUAACCUGCAAUUCAAUUGUGCGUGCAAUGAUGAGUCACUCCUGCCUGCUAUAGUGUACAUUUAGGCAUCAACAUACAUGGCAUAACCUAAUACAUGUGCGUUCCAUUGUAGAAUCUGGAAUAUGCAAUGUUUAUGUUAGUUCAUACGUUGCACAUGAUGUUUAAAUGCCCCUUAAAUCUGGUCAGUCAAGUGAUGGUCUUUAAGCCUCCUUAUUUGCUUCUUUUCUUGAUAUGUAAGAUUUGCUCACACAUCUGUUCAAUUGCUUGUUUGCAUCAGCCAGCCAUACUAGGACUGUUUGCUUUGAUUACUUGCUGUUCCUGACCUAACACUCUAACAGAGCUUGUCAAUGAUUUAAACACUAAGGGCUCCUGUAGUGGGGCCUUGUCUAACUCAUAGGUGACAUAAAGGUUUGGUUGUACACUAAAGUAGGCUCUCCAAGAGUACAUGGAGAUCCAGUUCGAAGUUAUGCCUAGUUUUUACAUAGUGCAUACAUAGUAAAUGCUCAUUGCAUUGUGUGCAAGUGCAAGAGAUGUAGCAUGUUUCAUUAUGUGGUGUUGUUUUGUUAUAAUCUCAUCCUUUUGUGUUGUUCACAGACUGGAAAGUAUGCAUAUUUAUCUUCCAAGGAGACGAGUAACUAGUUUGUGUCACCUUGUAGAGGGGGUGCAAUGAAGAUAAGAUUGAGGAUUUACAAGUAAAAGAUGUUAGGAAGGAGCCUUGCAAGAGAAGUAGGAGCUGCGUUAAGCCUCUUCAACCAGUUAAGGUAAGUCACUGUAUCCAACUCAACAAUUCAAUUCCUUGUUUGUUUCAGGCAUAGUUAAUUUGCUCUUUUUAGUUGCUUUAUUUGUCCUCAGUUAAUGAGAUGCCCAAACAAUGAUGCCUGAUGUUGGGUACGCGUAUAACUAUUAGUUGACAUAAUUAAAGGCCUUACCAUUUAAUUACUGUACCGAAGUGUGACUGAAGCUUUGAAGUCUAUUAACCAACUAUUAUUGCAUGAGGCUCACAAUCUAGUUUAUACUAGGAUAAUGAUUGCAUAGUUUUGCUUGCUGUAGUAGGUUUGUUGUCACACCCUGCAUUUUGUAACAUUUCAUUUGCAUUAAUAAAGCAUGAAAAUUUGGACCAACAAAAACUCUCGCAUUAUCUGGCUUUUAUUUGGAGUUGGUUUUCUCUCUGUGAUUUUAAGUGCUCCUUAAAGUCAACACAACUCCACCUUAUAUACUUCAUCUCCUUGCCCCAAACUUCUGCCCAAUGAUCAUGCCAUGUGUAUAGAGCAAUAUAAUAUUUUCAUACAAAUUUUUUUUGGCCAAAUAGUAUUUUCAAAAAUUAGUUUUCCAAAACCCCCUAAAUUGAGGUUUGCACUGCAAGUACUUGAUUUGGGGUAUGAAAAAUAUUUCAAAAGGUAUAUUUGAAUCCUAUUAGAUGUAGGACUCCCAUAAACCACAAAAAUAUAAUUUUAAAAUCUAUUUUCCUAUUUUAUUUAAACGCUUUUUCUUAAGGCCAGAAAUGGUCUUUAAUAGGGAAAAAUUAUUUUAUUGUUUCGAAAAUAUUUGACAAAAAUCAGGGAAACUCAGUGGACAUAUAUUUUCCAUAUAUAAGAGUUUCAACACAUGGUCAUGUUCAAAAUAUUGGACAAAACCUCCCCAAACCAUUUCUGCCCAUUUCAAGGAUUUGAAAUAUUUCUACAGGAAAUAUUUUCAAAAAAAUCCAAGGAAAUUCCAGCAAGUCACAAGUGCAUAUUGUGAUCACCUUGCAAAGCCUCAUGGCAAUUAAAGUCAUUUUUGUUCACCAAAAUGCCCCAAAACCCUCUCUGACCAGAAUCAAAAUUGAACUACGUUGUACUACCAACUAUCUCUCCUUGAUCCCAAAUUUUGUGAUCUUGAUCACAUGACCAAAUGAGGCCACCACACCAAGUGGUGCAUCAAGGAGAAGUGAUUUACUCAACUAGAUCUGCACAAGUCCAUUCCUGCCAAUUUAUAGGGUUUACAAAAGUUGCAUUGGCAACUUUGCCCAAAUGAGCUCAAAAUGGGUGGAAGGCCCUAAUUAUAUGUGCCAUUUCACCCUAUGGAGUAACAAGGCUAAUGGAAAUCAUCUACUUGCCCAAACCAGCAUCAAAUGCCUUCUGCCACUUUACCAAAAUCCCAUUUUUGUCCUCUCCCACUAAUCUCCAUGAGCUCUUCUUUUUACCACAACCCCUCCUAGAUCCCCUCUAUCUCCUGGAUGCUUUCCUGCCCGAGGAAGCAAUGAUGAAGGGAGGGGGAACCCCAUUUUCUUCUCUGGACAGCAGAUUCCCCUCUCUCUCUCAGCCUCCUUCUCUCCCCUCAGCUUUUCAGAGCAUCCAAGGCUCUCUCCAGCUUUUGCCCAUGCCCCCUCCAGCUGCCAGACACAAGUGGACGCGCGUAGAUGCGGGAAACCGCGGAUGCCGGCCAAAGUCGCGCUCUGGAGCGCCUGGCAAGGCACCCGACAGUUGACGCCGUGUCUCCCGACCACCUCGAGCCUCCCCCGCGCGCCAGUUGAUGCCCCUUGACGUCCGCUCCACGCCAGCAGGCCGCCCACUUGCUCCCGCGCCCUCCUCUCUCUCCUGCAUCUCGCGCCAGAGCGCCGCUCCGCUCGGCCAAUGCGUGCAUCGCUCCUGUGGCCCGCGUGCAGCUUGUCCCUUUCCUCCUCUCUCUCCCUGGCUCCCUAAACCACUCCCACGAACGCCCCCGAGCCUCCAUUCCCUCUCUAACGGCCACCCGAGCCGACCCCCCGGGCACCCAUAGGCCACGCCUACGGUGGACCUCGGCCAGCCUAUAUAAGGCAACGCCGAGCCCCUCUCUCACUCCCUGUCGCUCCCCCACCCUCCUAAUCAACCUCCCGCACUCCCCAUUCAUCUCCAAAACCGCCCGAGCUCAAGAUCGAGCCCAAGCUCCGCCGCUUCGGCUCGCCGGAGUUCGCGAGGUACAGGCCUCCCCCGCUCCUCCUCUGCCCCGAUCUGGAACCGCCGUGGCCCACUGACCAUUUCCCCUCUCUCCCCCACUUCUUUUGCAGCCAGAAACGGCCGGAGCCACCGCCGCCCGAAGCUCCUCCGCCGUGCCUCCUCGCCGCCGACGAACCAGGCAACUCUGGUGACGUCCACCACCUCCACCCGAAGGCGACUCGACGCUGAGUCCAUCCGUGCCUUCACUCGACCUCGUCGUGCCCCGCAUCGUCACCGGUGAGCCUGCCGACCCUCUGUCACAGGGUUAGGGAUGACAGGCGGGCCCCGCCUGUCAGCCUCUCCCCUCCAUCGCCCCUCUCUCUCUCUCGCUGACGCCUGGGCCCCGCCCGUCAGGUUUAAACCUGGCGUGUGCGCGUGCACUAGUGCGCUGGGCCGCCACUCUGGCUGGGCCUGCUGCGCUGCGGCUGUUCUGGCCCAUCAGGCACAGAGCCCUUUUUCCUUUUCUUUUCUAUCUCUUUUCCAAAAGUUCCACAGGAUAAAAUACUUAUCCAAAUAAAUUAAUUCCAACUCCUAAAUUCCUAAAAUAUUGCAACCUAUUUAAUGGUGCAACUUUCAUUCAAAUCCAACAACCUUUUCUUCACUGUAAAUAUCUAAAUGUGAUUUUAAGCACUUAAAUAUACCUUUGUAAAUCCAUUUCUCCUAUUCUGCUACUCCAAAUCCAAAACUAGGAAUUUUCCCCUUCUUAGUUUUCACCCUAGCAUUUAACAAAAAUGAGUUGACAUUUUUUUGAGCAAUUUGGUUUUUCUAUUUUAUUAUUGCCUUAUUUUCUCGUUAUUAUUUUGCGACGAUAGAUUGCGUUGCUGACGAAGGAGUUGGACCAGAAGACUUUGAAGGCCUAGAAGACUUUGUUGAGCCAGGCAAGCAGCCCUUUGACCAUGUCUAUGAAACCUUUUUUUAUGCAUGUCAUAUAGCACCAUAUUGUUGUUGCAACGGAAUCAUGAUGAGGUGGUAACCACUUUGAUGGUUUGCCACCAUACUUUCUCGUUGAUACUUGCAUUGUGCAUGACCCUACCUUCUUAUGAGGGUUAUGCCGGUGGGAGUAGAUAGGAUGCUAAAGUAGAUGCUACGCAAAAAGGGACGGGUAUAUGCAUGGUGAAGGAGACAAAGUAUUUUUAAAAGACUUUUUGAAAACCCCGUCGGGUGCCACUUAUGCCCGAGGGAGAUAAUGAGAUGGGUAACCACUUGAUGACGAAGUGGUGUACCAAGGCAAGUGUGUGUGUGUUGUUUUCAAAACGGAUUGGUUUAAGUUGCGACCGUUAUUCCAACCUUACAUGCGCAACCACUCUACCCUUAUAUGGGAAAGGGCAUUAUUGAUUACCUAGGCCGAUACUAGCUUGGAGCCCGCAUUGCUAGUGACGGGGAGAGUUGGUGCUCUCUCUCGGGACGGGGUCGUGCCAGGUAGGGCGGCCAUGACUAUUUUUACAGGGCACCGGAUACACCGUUGUGUCCCCUCUCGGAUGUUACGAUCUCGAGUGAGUCUCGUAUGAUGUACAUCAUAAGGAUACGGAACAACGAGUGGACUCCAUGUUAGUGUCGUCUAGGGAAAGGUAGUGAUCGGGUGCUUACCCCGGGUACUUGAGGUAUCGCGGGUCGUGGAUGACACGGAAGUUCCCCGGAUCUUGUGGGUAAAGUGUGCAACCUCUGCAGAGUGUAAAACUAUUAGAAUAGCCGUGUCCACAGUCAAGGAUAGUUGGGUAACCGCUCUUGGGCUACGUCCACAUGUUUACAAACUAGUGUAUGUUUGGAUAAGUGGGAAAUAUCUACUUGGGUCAAGUCAAGAGACUUGACAUGAUUGAGUUGGGUUGGUGCCCACUCUAUUUAUGUUGAUACCUGUAACCUUUCCUCAUGGUUACUUGAAUUCUCUUGAUGCAUGUCUUACAAGUUGUUGAACAUGUCACUGCAUUCAAAACUAGCUUUCUGCUAAAAUUUACCUAUAUCAUGUAUUGUUACAUCUUGGACCAAAACAUGGGUUGCUUGCGAGUACAUUCAAAGUACUCAUUGGCUUGCCACUGGUUAUUUAAUUGACCAGGCAUGGAAGAACCGGAGUUCGAAGAAGAGUUCUUUGGAGACGAACAUGCGAACUAGGACGUUUCCCAGUCAGAAUGCCUAUAGGGUUAAGGCAGAUGGCAUGGGUUCUACUUAUCAAUGAAGAUUUCCGCUGCUUGUGUUUUAUUUGAAGUUCAUCCCUUAAAGCUUUAUCAAUGUAAGACUUGACCAUAAUGGUCAUAAUUUAUGUAAGACGGUUUGUAUGGAUGUAAGACUCUUGUUAUUCAGCUUCUGUGUGUUCAGUGAGCAUUGAUCUCUGGGAUCACUGUACACGUGCAUUCGGUGAUCACGACUUAUGAGUCGGGGUCCCCACAUUUGUAUGAAUCCCUCUGCUGUUCAUUAUGCUCCCUAAGACUUUAGUUGAGCUACAGAAUGGCCAACUGCUUGCUUACUUAUACGCAAUGUGAUGUCUAAAUUUGUAACUUGUCUGUGUUUUGGAUUGGGCCCCAACAUCAUGCUCCUCUGGUGAGCUAAGAGAGAUUUCUGUAUGCAGGCUGCACAGACUACCUUUUUUAUAAUUUUUAAAAUAUCACCUGCUUAUGCUUCAUGAUGUGUAACAUUAUUGUUAGUCCCUGUUUUGCCAUGUACAAAAUAUUCUGUCUUGCUCGCUUCACUCUUGUAACUAUAUUUUUGCCCUAGUCAUGUGUACUUACAGAAACAUUUCGGGAUGAAGUGACAUCAACAAAAAGAUCUGCAAGCAGUGCGGCAUGGCCGUUACCGAAUGAUUAUGGAUUGGAAUUGGAAUGUGCUGAUGCUCUCGAGCAUCAACUAGAGGUGGCAAGACAACGUGUACAUGAUUCUCAACGUGUCGGAUUUAGGGUUUCGGCAAAACCCUUGAGGUUCGAACACUUGGGUGCGCACAAAGAUUUCCCCCUACUGAAUCUCGCUCUCAGCCUCGCCGCGAUCCCUAAGCUUAGCUCGAUGAACUCACAACACAAGAGACACAAGGUUUAUACAGGUUUGGGCCACCGUUGUGGUGUAAUACCCUACUCCUGUGUGGUGGUGGUGGAUUGGCUCUUGGGCUGAGGAUGAACAGUACAAGGGAAGAACAGCCUCCUGAGGAGAGGUGUUCUUGUGCUUGGUGGGUUGCUCGGGGAGGAAUCGAUUGAUCCCUUUCUACUGUGGUGGCUGGUCCUAUUUAUAGAGGCUCUGGUCCUCUCCCCAAAUAUUGAGCGGGAAGAGAUCCAACGGCGACCAAUUUGAAAGGGGACAUCUAGUACAAGGUAUCCAUACUAAAGGCGGUCUUCGCCUGUCAAAGGCGCUAGUGGUGAAACCGUCUUGGGUUCCACGAUGACCUCCAUCCUGCCGUCCUGCUGGUCUUGGUCUUGUUGCACCGAUAUCGAAACCUUUGCCUAAUGCCUCGGUACUCCACGCCUGCGCUUGCCCCCUUAGCACCAAAGGGGAAACGAGGACACUACAUGCGCUGGCGCCCGCCUGGCCUUGGUCGUCAUGGCUUGCGUCACGGGAACCUUGCGAGGUACCCUUUGCCUUGAUCUCUCCGCCUCCCUCGCGAGCCUGUCUAGUGAGGCCGCUCCUGAGGAGGCCUUGUAUCGCCCGCCCCGUGAGGCUUGGCCCCUCCCGAGGGUAUUGAGUGUUGGUUGAUGAAGACGGGCCGUACUGGGCCACUGGUGGAGCCAUGCCAUGGGCCCCAGGCAGGCAAGUCUGGGGACCCUCGUUCCCAGAACACCGACAGUAGCCCCCGGGCCCAAGGCGCGCUCGUACUUGGCUUCACGGCGAAGACAAAGGGCAAGUGCGGAGCGCCACGGGCCCCAACAGCAUGCGGCCUUAGUCAACGCGUGGCGACUGAUUGGACAUGGGCGUCUCCGCUUCCCCAUGCUGCCCCAAUAUCCGCCUGGCUAGGCGGCCAUGGCACCCUACACAAUUAUUUCCUCCUCCCAAGCGGCGUGUUCCCUAUCCUUCCUUCUUCCUCGAGCCCCUGUCUCUGCUUCCAAUCUGACUCGAGCUCUGUCCCCUCCAUUGCCAUGGCGCCGACUAGCACAGAGAGAGGGAAGAAGCCUCUGUCCUAAGCCAAUCCGCCCACGACAAUCGAGCCCGCCGUCGGCCGAUCACGGGUACUCAACCGGGAGGCCCCGGGCAAGGUCUGCCAUGCGCUCGCUUCCAGCUUCAAUGCGUAGGGAGGGAUGGUGGCCUGGCCUGCGUCCCGAGCCUCCAUUGACAGGAUAGCCACUGAGGUUCGGUUCUUCGUCUACGCCCUGUGGGCUGGCCUGGUUCCUCCUUUCUCCGCCUUCUUCAAUGCAGUGCUUUCCCAUUACCAGAUUCACAUGCUGCAUAUCGAUCCCCAAUCCGUUGCCCUUCUUGCUGUCUUCGCCUUUGUUUGCGAGGACAUGGUGGGCAUUGCUCCUUCCGUUGCCCUCUUGCGCCAUUUCUUCUCACUGCAUCGGACCAACCCCUCGCAGUGCUCAGGGUGCCUGAGCUUCCAGGUUGUGGCAGAGACGACCGCCUCGAGGAUUGAUUUUGAUCUCCCACCGUCCACGAGCGGGUUUCGGAUGUGGUGGGUGUACGUGGAUGUCAGAGUGCUCAGCCCCUGCUCUUGCCUCCGUCGUCGCCCGCCAUCCCAACUCCAGCUGGGGCCAUGAGAGGCUCGCGACUUCUCGCCUUUCCUUCGUCUGGCUCCGGUUGAAGAGGUUGAGAGACCUUAGCAUGAUUGCGCCCCAGGUGGUGAAGGAGUUCCUCCGGCGUCGCGUUGCCCCAAUCCAACACCAUUCCCGGCCGAUGUGGGCCCUGGCCGGUGACCAGGAUCGCAUGAGGCUUCAGGAGUCGGAGCUCUCGCCCGAAGCGCGAAGGACGGUGCUUGAAGUCUUGACUGGCAACCCCUCGCCAGGCAAUAUGCCACAAGGGGGUUGCCUCUUGUAUCUUUGCUCGAAUAGGGUUCAGUUCGCGAGGCAGAUGCCUUCCUUCGACAAAUGGGGGCUGCGCCCGGUUGGCCUUGUGGGGCCUCGUCACAAUCCUGUCAUUGUGACUCCCCUCCUUGUCGCCAGCAACGAGCUUGCCCCAAGGGUGGACGCAGGGAGGCAAGAAUCACUAGGGGUCGGCAGCAUAGGUGUCGAGGUGCCGACGCUGCUUGAGGUUCCCGAGGCUCCAUGCUCCGGAACUCGUGAGGCUCGCCCUGAGGCGGUCGUUGAGGGGGAGAGGCAGUCUGCGUCUCCUAAGGCCGAAGCUCCUGAGGCCUCGACAAGCCAGCAUGAGGUGGAGCCUGAUUGUUCUUCCCAGCUUGGCACUCCUGAGGUCGACCACCUGGGUGCAUCUCCAGCCGCACGCCGUGCUAGCCUCCACCUCCAACACCUUGGUCGGUUCCGUGUGGACUUCGCCGCACUUUGUAAGAGGAAGGAGUCUUCGAGCUGCAGUGGUGGCACCAUCCAGCCGCUGAAACGUAGGAAGUACAUCGCCAUUGACAGGUAAGUACCUUAUCCUUGUAAUUUCCCAAUCACUGCUUCCCUUCCUGACUGUGGCUCUUCAGGAUCCCUCCUGCCAAGCCCGCGGAGUCUCUCGAGAAGCAACCUCCUCUGGCCUUGCCUUCAUCACUGGCCUUGAGUGCCCCAAGCCUGCAUGCCGCCCCUGGUGCGGGGUCAGCCGGAGAAGCAAGCCUGCCUGCAAGGUGCCUUGAGCCCGUGCCCUAGCCGCCUUUCCUUCUCAACCUCGUUUGGAGCGCGGCCAGCCUACCCAGGGCUCCUCCUCUGGUCGUGGACGGCAACUGGUUGCCAUUGAGCCUAGGCCCCUCUUCAAGUGGAGAGCUUGCGCCGGUCCGGGUCCCUUGCAUGGCCUGGCCAGCGACCGAGGGGGCGCCAGCCCCCAGCCCCCUGAUGAGAGGGGGCGAACCGCUUCAUACCCCGCCAACAGCGCCCAUGACGGGGGACAAUGAUACGUCUCCGUCGUGUCUACAUUUCCAAACACGUUUUCCCUUGUUUUGGACUCUAACUUGCAUGAUUUGAAUGAAACUAACCCAGACUGAUGCUGUUUUCAGCUAAACUGCCAUGUCAUUGUUUAUUGUGCAGAAAACAAAAGUUCUCGGAAUGACCUGAAAAUCCACAGAGAUAACUUUUGGAAAAUAUAAAAAAUACUGGCAAAAGAAUCAAGGCCAGGGUGCCCACACCCUAUCCACGAGGGUGGGGGGCGCGCCCCCUCCCCCUGGGCGCGCCCCCUGUCUCGUGGGCCCCCUGAUGCUCCACCGACCUCAACUCCAACUCUAUAUAUUCCGUUUCGCAGAGAAAAAACCAGAGAGAAAGUUUCAUCGCAUUUUACGAUACGGAGCCACCACCAAGCCCUAAUCUCUCUCGGGACGGAUGAUCUGGAGUUGGUCCGGGGCUCCAGAGAGGGGGAUUCAUCGCUAUCGUCAUCAUCAACCAUCCUCCAUGACCAAUUUCAUGAUGCUCACCGCCGUGCAUGAGUAAUUCCAUCGUAGGCUUGCUGGACGGUGAUGGGUUGGAUGAGAUUUACCAUGUAAUCAAGUUAGUUUUGUUAGGGUUUGAUCCCUAGUAUCCACUAUGUUCUGAGAUUGAUGUUGCUAUGACUUUUCUAUGCUUAAUGCUUGUCACUAGGGCCCGAGUGCCAUGAUUUCAGAUCUGAACCUAUUAUGUUUUCAUGAAUAUAUGUGAGUUCUUGAUCCUAUCUUGCAAGUCUAUUGUCACCUAUUAUGUUUUAUGACCCGACAACCCCGAAGUGACAAUAAUCAGGAUACUUAUCGGUGAUGACCGUAGUUUGAGGAGUUCAUGUAUUCACUAUGUGUUAAUGCUUUGGCCCGGUACUCUAUUAAAAGGAGGCCUUAAUAUCCCUUAGUUUCCACUAGGACCCCGUUUCCAUAGGAUGGUAGGACAAAAGAUGUCAUGCAAGUUCUUUUCCAUAAGCAUGUAUGACUAUAUCCAGAAUACAUGCCUACAUUACAUUGAUGAACUGGAGCUAGUUCUGUGUCACCCUAUGUUAUUACAUGAGGAAUCGCAUCCGACAUAAUUAUCCAUCACUGAUCCAAUGCCUACGAGAUUUUCAAAUAUUGUGCUUCGCUUAUUUACUUUUCCGUUGCUAUCUUUACUUUUGCCACUGUUACCAUUACUAUGAUACUACUUUGCUAGUAAAUACUUUGCUACAGAUACUAAGUUAUCUAGGUGUGGUUGAAUUGACAACUCAACUGCUAAUACUUGAGAACAUUCUUUGGCUCCCCUUGUGUCGAAUCAAUAAAUUUGGGUUGAAUACUCUACCCUUGAAAAUUGUUGCGAUCCCCUAUACUUGUGGGUUAUCAAGACUAAUUUCUGGCACCGUUGCCGGGAAGCACAGCUCUAUUCUUUGAGUCAAUUGGGAUUUAUAUCUGCUGAUCACUAUGAGGAACUUGAAAGGCGAAAGAACUAAGAUUUUUCCCUCAACUACGAGGGGAGGUAAGGAACUGCCAUCUAGCUUUGCACUAGAUUCUCCUUCUGUUUUGAGUAAGCUUGCGACACCUAAACCUGCUACUGCUAUGAAUUCUGAUAUGUCACAUGUUAUUGAUGAUGCCACUUCUGUUAUGCAUGAUACUUAUGAUGAGACUACUUCUAUGCUUGAUACUACUUUGCCAUUAGGUGAAUUUCUUGAUGAACAACUUGCUAGGGUUAGAGAGAAUGAAAUUAUUGAAGAUGAAAUUAUUCAUGAUAGUGAUGAUGAAGGUUCUCCCCCUAAAUAUGAAUUGCCUGUUGUUCCUGAGGGUUAUGUUUUGGACGAAGAAACUGCUAGAGAUCUUUUUGCUUGUAAUGAUAGAUCUGAUCUUAAGAAAUUACUAGCUAAACUUAAACAGAAAACUCUGAAUGCUAGAAUGAAAUAUGACCCUGCUUUUGCUACUUCACCUAUCUUUGUUAUUGAUAAGGAUUAUGAAUUCUCUGUUGAUCCUGAGAUAAUUACUUUAGUUGAAUCUGAUCCUUUUUAUGGCUAUGAAUUUGAAACUGUUGUGGCACAUCUUACUAAGUUAAAUGAUAUAGCCACCCUAUUCACUAAUGAUGAGAAGUCUUGCUAUUAUUAUAUCCUUAAGAUAUUUCCAUUCUCAUUAAAGGGUGAUGCUAAAACUUGGUUUAAUUCUCUUGUUCCUGGUUGUGUGCGUAGUCCCCAGUAUAUGAUUUAUUACUUCUCUACUAAACAUUUCCCUGCUCAAAAGAAACAAGCUGCCUUGCGGGAAAUAUAUAAUUUAGUGCAAAUCGAAGAAGAGAGUCUCCCACAAGCUUGGGGGAGGCUUCUCCGAUUACUUAAUGCUUUGCUUGAUCAUCCUCUUAACAAAAUGAAAUACUUGAUAUAUUUUAUAAUGGACUAACUGAUGCUUCCAAGGACCACUUGGAUAGUUGUGCUGGUUGUGUUUUUAGGGAAAGAACAGUCGAUCAAGCUGAAUUGUUAUUGAAUAAUAUGUUAACUAAUGAAAAUAAUUGGACUCUUCCUGAGCCAAUUGAGCCAACUCCUGAACCUAUUCUUAAACCUACUCCAAAGAAAAGGGGUGUUCUAUUUCUCAGUCCCGAAGACAUGCAAGAGGCAAAGAAAUCAAUGAAAGAAAAAGGUAUUAAAGCUGAAGAUGUUAAGAAUUUACCUCUUAUUGAAGAAAGACAUGGUCUAAAUAUACCGCCUAUUGAAGAAACAAAUUGUCUUGAUAACCCGACACAGGUAGUAAAGACCCUUUUUGAAUACUGCAGGGGCUGUUGUUGAUUGCAACAAAGGCAAUGUCACUUUUCAUGUUAAUGGUAAUGAGCAUACGGUACACUUUCCGAGGAAACAACCUCAAGUUCACAGCAUCAAUUCUAUUGGAAAAAUUCCAACUAUCAUUAUUGGAGGUUUUGAAUUUCCUCUCCCUACUGUCAAGAAAAAGUAUGAUAUUCUUAUUGUCGGGGAUGUGCAUAUCCCCGUUGAGGUAACCUAGUGUUAUUCGAAAUUUCUCCGGUUCCAUGUUAUUCAAAAUGAGUUUGUUAACAAGACUUGAUCAACCUUGUUAGUGGAUUCCAUUUGAUGAUCAUGAGAUGGAUGAAACUUGAUGGCACAACCUUCUGUACUCUCUUUUUACUUUGUGUUAUUUAGAAUAAAUAAAGAAAAAUAGUAUUAUUUGUUUGUUUUCUGAAUUAUCCAUGCCAUAAAAAAAUAUCCCAAAAAUAAAAGUGCUCCAAAUGCCCUGCAAAUUUAGUAUGAUUUUUAGGGAAUAUUUGAGGAUUUUAGGCAAUGAGAACACAGCAGGGGAUGCAAGCACCUGGCCACGAGGGUCUAGGGCACGCCCACUCCCCCUGGGCGCGCCCUCCUGCCUCGUGGGCCCAUGGUGGCCCUCCUUCACUUAUUCAUGCACACACACACUCCAUCUUCCUCCCAAAAAUAUCCCCAUCUAGCUCAAGCACGAGUUCUAGCUCAUUUUGCUGCGAUUUUCGAUCUCCUUGCUCAACGCUCCAUUCACGAAACUGCUUUGGGAGAUUGUUGCUUGGUAUAUCUCCACGUGAGGGUGAUAUGGAUUUGCCUGCCGCUUAUUUAGAUUUUGACGUGUCAGACACCGUUUUCUUGUGAGGAAUGAACAAUUCCUCCAGUAUCGACUAAUCUUUGAAAACCUUCGCGAUGUCCAUGUUACUCUCCCUGCUCCUUCCCUUUUUGAUUACCAGGAAAAACGAAGAUAUGUUGUUACCAGGGAAGAGGCAACCGAACACAAGAGGAGAGCGGAGGCAGCUUGCCAAUAUGUCGCAACUCAGGAGGCAUUGGCUGCUGCAUGUCAAUAUGACCCUAGAUAUAACUUUGGAUAUCAGCCAGACUAUCCUUGGCAUUAGACCAACUUAGGCCAAAAGCCUAAGCUUGGGGGAGUAUGUAUUUCUCACCAACAUUACAUUCAUGUUCACACACCUAUUCUAGUUGUCGGUGCUCAUACUCUUUCAUUGUAUUAUCCAUGCUAGUUUAUUUUCUGUUUCUAGGUUUCUUCUUGUGUGUUUGAUAAACCUUAAGAAAAACCAAAAAAAUAGUUACUUUAAUUUCCAUGCUUGUACUAGCAAUUAAAAAGAAAACCUAAAAAGAUUUCUCGUUCUUCUUUUACUUGUUGGGAGCUUUCCCAUGUAAGUAGUUUUAUUUUAUUUUCUUUCUUUUGGGGGUCGAGAGGAGAAGACCAUAUUGAAAAAGAUUAGUGGCUCUCAUAUGCAUGAUUGUUGAUUUAACUUGGAGCCCAUUUUACUUUUUCUUCUCUCUUGAAUUGAAUGCUUGCAGAUUCCAGCUUAGUCCAAUGCACGUGCACUAUUAUUAUUAUACACACCGUUCGGUCGUGCAAGUGAAAGGCAAUAAUGAUGAUAUAUGAUGGACUGAUUGAGAUGAGAAAAGCUGGUAUGAACUCGACCUCUCUUGUUUUUGUAAAUAUGAUGAGUUCAUCGUUCUUGAUUCAGCUUAUUAUGAAUAAACAUGUUUGCAAUGACAAUUAGAGAUUAUAGUUGCUUAUGCCAUGCUUAAUUAGCUAGGAGAUUAUAAUGGUUUACCUUGCGUGCCAACAUGCUAUUAAAAUGGUUGUGAUGUGGUAUGAUAGGGUUGUAUCCUCCUUUGAAUGAUUCGAGUGACUUGACUUGGCACAUGUUCACGCAUGUAGUUGAAAACAAAUCAACAUAGCCUUCACGAUAUUUAUGUUCAUGGUGGAUUAUAUCCUACUCAUGCUUGCACUCAGUUUUGAUUAAUUUUCAUGCAUGUUCGUGACUGUUGUCGCUCUCUCAGUUGGUCGCUUCCCAGUUUUUUGCUAGCCUUCACCUGUACUAAGUGGGAAUACUGCUUGUGCAUCCAAACUCCAUAAACCCAAAAGUUAUUCCAUAUGAGUCCACCAUACCUUCCUAUAUGCGGUAUUUACCUGCCGUUCCAAGUAAAUUUGUAUGUGCCAAACUCCAAACCUUCAGAUGAAAUUCUGUUUUAUAUGCUCGAGCAGCUCAUGUUUCAACUAGGGCUGUCUGUAUCUUCCAUGCUAGGUGGGUUAUUCUCAAGAGGAGUGGACUCCGCUCCUCAUUCACGAGAAAAUGACUGGUAACCGGGAUGCCCAGUCCCAUUAUCAAAAAGAUAAAAGCAAAUCAAAAUAAUUAAACAAAACUCCCCCAGGGCUGUUGCUAGUUGGAGGCACUAGUUGUUUCGAGCAAGCCAUGGAUUGAUGCCUGUUGGUGGUGGGGGAGUAUAAACUUUACCAUUCUGUUUGGGAACCGCCUAUAACAUAUGUAGCAUGGAAGAUAUCGAGAUCUCAUAGUUGUUACGUUGACAGUGAAAGUAUACCGCUCAAAAUGUUAUUCAUCUCUAUUUCAAAAUCGAGCUCUGGCACCUCUACAAAUCCCUGCUUCCCUCUGCGAAGGGCCUAUCUAUUUACUUUUAUGUUGAGUCAUCACCUUCUUAUUAAAAAGCACCUGCUAGAGAGUACACUGUCAUUUGCAUGCAGUACUAUUAGUUUAUAUUGGGUAUGACUUGACUGGAUCUCUUUUACCAUGAAUUACAAUGCUUUGUCAGUCCUUGAUCUUUAAAGGUGCUCUGCAUUUAUGUUUUGUGGUCUCAAAAAGGGCUAGCGAGAUACCAUCUUGUUAUAUCAUAUUAUGAUUGUUUUGAGAAAGUGUUGUCAUCCGAGAUUUAUUAUUAUUGCUCGCUAGUUGAUUAUGCCAUUGAUAUGAGUAAACAUGAGACCUAAGUAUUAUUGUGAAUAUGGUUAGUUCAUAAUCUUUGCUGAAAACUUGAAUGCUGGCUUUACAUAUUUACAACAACAAGGGCAAACAGAGUUUGUAAAAGUUUUUCUUUAUCACUUUCAGUUUAUCAAUUGAAUUUCUUGAGGACAAGCAAAGGUUUAAGCUUGGGGGAGUUGAUACAUCUCCGUCGUCUCUACUUUUCCAAACACUUUUGCCCUUGUUUUGGACUCUAACUUGCAUGAUCUGAAACUAACCCGGACUGACGCUAUUUUCAGCAGAACUGCCAUGGUGUUGUUUAUUGUGCAGAAAACAAAAGUUCUCGUAAUGACCUGAAAAUCCACAGAGAUAACUUUUGGUAAAUAUAAAAAAUACUGGCGAAAGAAUCAAGGCCAGGUGCCCACACCCUGUCCACGAGGGUGGGGGCGUGCCCCCUGUCUCGUGGGCCCCCUGAUGCUCCACCGACCUCAACUCGAACUCUAUAUAUUCUGUUUCACAGAGAAAAAAUUAGAGAGAAAGUUUCAUCGCGUUUUACGAUACAGAGCCGCCUCCAAGCCCUAAUCUCUCUCGGGAAGGCUGAUCUGGAGUCCGUUCGGGGCUCCGGAGAGGGGGAUUCAUCGCUGUCGUCAUCAUCAGCCAUCCUCCAUCACCAAUUUCAUGAUGCUCACCACCGUGCGUGAGUAAUUCCAUCGUAGGCUUGCUGGACGGUGAUGGGUUGGAUUAGAUUUACCAUGUAAUCAAGUUAGUUUUGUUAGGGUUUGAUCCCUAGUAUCCACUAUGUUCUGAGAUUGAUGUUGCUAUGACUUUGCUAUGCUUAAUGCUUGUCACUAGGGCCCGAGUGCCAUGAUUUCAGAUCUGAACCUAUUAUGUUUUCAUGAAUAUAUGUGAGUUCUUGAUCCUAUCUUGCAAGUCUAUAGUCACCUAUUAUGUGCUAUGAUCCGACAACCCCGAAGUGACCAUAAUCGGGAUACUUCUCGGUGAUGACCGUAGUUUGAGGAGUUCAUGUAUUCACUAUGUGAUAAUGCUUUGGUCCGGUACUCUAUUAAAAGGAGGCCUUAAUAUCCCUUAGUUUCCGCUAGGACCCCGCUGCCAUGGGAGGCUAGGACAAAAUAUGGCAUGCAAGUUCUUUUCCAUAAGCAUGUAUGACUAUACCAGGCAUACAUGCCUACAUUACAUUGAUGAACUGGAGCUAGUUCUGUGUCACCCUAUGUUAUAACUAUUACAUGAGGAAUCGCAUCCGACAUAAUUAUCCAUCACUGAUCCAAUGCCUACGAGCUUUUCACAUAUUGUGCUUCGCUUAUUUACUUUUCCGUUGCUACUGUUACAACUACUACAAAACUGCUAUCUUUACUUUUGCCACUGUUACCAUUACUAUCAUACUACUUUGCUACUAAAUACUUUGCUGCAGAUACUAAGUUAUCUAGGUGUGGUUGAAUUGAAGACUCAACUGCUAAUACUUGAGACUAUUCUUUGGCUCCCCUUGUGUCGAAUCAAUAAAUUUGGGUGGAAUACUCUACCCUUGAAAACUAUUGUGAUCCCCUAUACUUGUGGGUUAUCAGACGACAGCAGCCGCGCGCUCGAGUUUGCGCGCCAAUGAAGCGUCGUCCGCCACGAGUUCUUCCAAAAGGCGAUGGACGCGAUGGGCCACUUUGGUGGAGAGCAUGCGGACGUAGACGCACGCCUUGAAGCCAAGGGCCUACGGCUGAUCGAGGAGCAGCAUAGACUGAAGGUGGCCAUCAACCUCGCGCGCCACCAGCGCGAGCUUGACAAUGCGAAGGCUGAGGCGUCCCUUGCAACCUCGCGUGAGGCCUACUCCCGAGCUUUGGAGGAGGCCCGGGAAGCAGAUCGUCGUCGCGAUAUUGCAGAGAAGUGCGCGUGGGAGCUCCAAGCCUGGAGCGCUUCCUUGGAGCAGCAGGUGGAGUUGAGCCAAACCGCCCUUGCGUCACUGAGGGGGAAACCUAUUGAGGAGGAGGAGGUCCUGAAGCAUGAGGAAGCGUUGAUGCUGGAGGACGCCGAGCGUAGUCUUGAGCUUGAGCGGUUGGAGACGAGGGAGCGCCAGGUUGCCGAGCGGAGGAGGCCGUUGGCGCGCGUGAGGCCCCGGUCUAGGAAGAGGUCGACCGCCGCAUGGACGAGGCUCGCGUGGAUCUUAUGAGAAGGUAUGACCUGAAGAUGAAGCUGGUUGAAGCCGAGGUUGCAGGCAGGACUGCCGCCCUCAGGUCCAGGCUAACCGAAGCAGAACGGUGCACGAAGGCCGCCGCAGCCGCCCUGGUCUCGGCGCAGGCCGAGCUGGCCUCCGCCUGCGCCGAGCUGCUUCCUCUUCAGCAGUGGGUUGCCGACACCGAGUCCAUCGCACAGCAGAACAGGGAGGAAGUGCUUCAAUGGCAGACGUUGGAGCACGUGCACGACCCCAUGCUCCAGGACCUCAGGAACAGGGCCAACGCGGCCCUGGGCAACAUCUGUAAUGAGAAUGCCCCGCAUCCCCAUGCGACCGACUAUACCAGUCAUAUUCGCUUCUUUACUGACGUGGUGAUGCGCCUGGAGAACCGCUCCGAGAGAGCUCACCAGCUUGUUAAGGAAAGGAGCCGCAGCCUGCUCGGGCGCGCGUUUUCCCGCGUCUUCAGCCAACUUCAGAACACCUAUCCCGACUUUGACUUUGACGCCACCAUCGCCCCGGUGCCCGAGGCCAUCCAUGGAAACCUAGCGCGGUGGGUGGAGGAUAAUGUGGAUGCGCUUGUUAGGGCCUUUGCUUCCAAUGAUGAUGGGGUGGUAGUCGCGGUGGACGAAGGCGAUGUGGUCGAUGAUGGUGCCGAUGGUGCCAGUGGUGGCGAUGGUGAUGCCAGUGACAGCGACAGCAGUGCCAGCGAUGCCUCUGGAGGCGACCCAAGGGACACGGUGAGCGAUAUGUCUGACUGAUCCCGUGUUUCUCUGCUUUUUAUCCUGCAUACAGAAACUCGGGCACGACCCCAAAGGUUGUAAGAGCAUUUUGGGAGGGGAUGCCCCUCAUGUAAAAAAGAUUGUUGUACCUAUGCUUUCAGGGCCAAUGCUGAAUAUAUGCUUCUAUGAGCCUACGGGCCCUGCGGCGAGCUAGUUGUUGUAAUUUACCUUUAGCCGGGACAAGUCCUGAACCGGCUCGUGAGGUCGUGAGUUUCCGAGUAUCCCCUUAGGGGCCUACUGACCCGGUCGAGAGGGCCUCGCGAGAGCAAGUGCCGGCCGUAGUACGGCAUGCGUGCAGUGUACGUGCGCUUCGCCUAGCCCCGCCCGCGAGGGGCUCGCGAGGGGGAGGCAGCCGGUGCGAACUCCAAAUUAAGGCAGGAACCAGAAUGCAAGAAAUCACACGAACGAGAAAAUUCACCCUCCCCACGCACACAAAUGAAAACUCAACUCCAACUUAAAUCCGAAACAAGGAAGCACGACUACAGAAAGGGAGUUAAAAAAGCAAAUGGCCGCGUCCGGCGCCUAGUCUAGUCUUCACGUCUUCUCACCAGCGCGGAGCUAAGUGCUGCCACUAGGCGUGAGAGGGAGCCCCCGAGGCCCGAGGGCGGCGCUCCUAAGGCUCCAGGGUAUGUACAGCCCCACUCAUUAUUACGUGAGAGUGUCACCAACUAUGAGCUUCACAGGCACUAGGCCUUCUUCAUAUUGCCAGACAAGGGCCCCGCCUUGCGCCACCCUCGACCACCAUUAGCGGCGACCGAAAACCAGGACGACGCCAAAGGGACAAAGGGGACGCCAUCGCUGCCCUCGGCGACCACGGGUCCUCUGCCACGGGUAGGCUUUGCAGCACCUCCCCGACAGAGGGCCUACCUCCGGGGGACGCCUUGCUCUGUGCACCGUGGGGAGGGGCCUUGCUCCGUGCGUCGUGGGAAGGGGCCUUGCUCCGUGCGCCGUGGGGAGGGGCCUUGCUCCCGGCCCCUCUCCUGCAGCCCCCAUUGCGCUCCUCCUAGUGGAAGGGAGGCUACCGAGCUGGGGCAGCCGCCUGCUGCUAUGACCUUACCCUCCUGUGACCCAUGGUUAGCAUAAGCUUGCUCCUGAGGAAUUAGUGGUACCCGGUAACUGCUGCUGUCGGCGCGGUUGGUGAGGCUCCCUUGAGGCUCCUGGAAGAGCUCAACUUCUGGCGUCUCUUCCUCCCAGCCAGGCCCGAGGAACGAGCCAGGGUCGUCUUCUAGUGCAUACUCCCAUUCCACCAUGCAGGGCAUGUAAGCCUCCGAAGCCGCCGCCUCGAAGACUUUGCCGUAGUGCCCCACACUCCAUGUCGCUCGGCCUAGCGUGCCGUCUUGAGGAUGGUAGGGAAGCGGCCCGCCCGGGCCGUAGGCGGUAGCGCACAUGCCCUCAGUCACUGAUGGUGGUGUGGGUGCGUCCUGGCGUCUGGCGCCGAUGGUUGAGCUGGUGUUGAUGAAGCCUUGUAGCGUUCUUGGGGCCACGCGGGCGUAGAGAGAUCCGCCAUGUGAUCCGGCCGAGGCCCAGGGUGCAAGCUGGAAGCAGAAGGGCGGUGCCCCUGAGGCCGCGGCAUCAAGGAGCUCGGCAACGCGCUCAUGCAACACAUCCCGACCGCUCUCCAUCAACCUACAUCGCAGCAGCUCCCGAGCCACAGUGAGCGCGACUCUCAUGUUUGCUUGAUCCCGUCGGGUGUGCGGCACCGUGGCCACGGCGUGGCUUGAGGCCCUUGCGGCUGCCCGCACCUGCCAUGGACUAAGGGCAGGCGAUGUGUGACCACGCCGCCCACGCCCCGCGGUGUUCUGCGGUGCGUGGGAUGCCUAGGGCGUGGGGUUGAGAUCUUCUUGGGCAGGUGGAGUGUCCCGGGCUGGCCAGGCUGCCCAGCGGUUGGCAUCGGUCAUCGGGUUGCCAGACAUUGGACUCGCAAAGCGACGACAUGCUGACUGGCGGAAGGAAAGCUCCGGCGCACCCUUACCUGGCAUGCCAAAUGUUGUAUAUAGGGUUCCGGCAAAACCCUUGAGGUUCAAACACUGGGGUGCGCACAAAGAUUCCCCCCUACUGAAUAUCGAUCUCAGCCUAACCGUGAUCCCUAAGCUUAGCUCGAUGAACUCACAACACAAGAGACACAAGGUUUAUACAGGUUCGGGCCACCGUUGUGGUGUAAUACCCUACUCCUGUGUGGUGGUGGUAGAUUGCCUCUUGGGCUGAUGAUGAACAGUACAAGAGAAGAACAGCCUCCUGAGGAGAGGUGUUCUUGUGCUCGGAGGGUUGCUCGGGGAGGAAUCGAAUGAUCCCUUUCUACUGUGGUGGCUGGUCCUAUUUAUAGAGGCCCUGGUCCUCUCCCCAAAUAUUGAGCGGGAAGGGAUCCAACAACGACCAAUUUGAAAGGGGACAUCUAGUACAAGCAAUCCUGACUAAAGGUGGUCUUCGCCUGUCAAAGGCGCUGGUGGUGACGCCGUCUUGGGCUCCACGAUGACCUCCGUCCUACCGUCCUGCUGGUCUUGGUCUUGUUGCACCGAUAUGGAAACCUUUGCCUGAUGCCUCGGUACUCCACCCUGCGCUUGCCCCCUAGCACCAAAGGGGAAAUGAGGACACUGCGCACGCUGGCGCGCGCCUGGCCUUAGUCGUCAUGGCUGGCGUCACGGGAACCUCACGAGGUACCCUUUGCCUUAAUCUCUCCGCCUCCCUCGCGAGCCUGCCUGGUGAGGCCGCUCCUGAGGAGCCCUUGUGUCGUCUGCCCCAUGAGGGUUGUCCCCUCACGAGGGUCUUGAGUGUUGGUUGAUGAAGACGGGCCGUACUGGGCCACUGGUGGAGCCACGCUGUUGGCCGCAGGUAGGCAAGUCUGGGGACCCCCGUUCCUAGAACGCCAACACAACAUACAAUCAACAAGUUGAGACUAGACAUGCAGGUAUUAGAUGCAGGAGUCCAAAAAUGAAAAAAGACAUUGAGGUAACCACGAAGGAAUUGGAGAUUUUGCAGACUGAAAUUUGUGCUAUCUAAAUCCGGUCAAUCCUAUUUCCUGAAGAGAUUAUAGUUCAAAUGGUAAGUUCAGUUGAUGCGUGUCCAUGAUGUAUGAGCUUUAUUUGUCCAGUAUAUGUAAUUUGCUGUUUGUGUAUGAUUUAUUAUCACUGGUGCCGAACUAUAAUGCCCAGUGGGUAUAUUCAGCUGUAAUUUAUUUAUUGUAUAGUGUAGGAUUAUUCUAUGUUUCUAUGCCUUAGUCUUUUUAUUGUAUAGUGUAUUCUUUUAGAGGUGAUAGUAUAGAGUAGGAUAUUUCUUGAAUAUGCUAUAUUGUGGAAAUGGGGUCCAACACGCCCAAACAUUUCUUGGAUGCCAUACAAACGAACAAACAUGUGUAGUCAAAGCGGGCCUUAAUUGGGCUGGUCAAAAUAAUAUUAAGUGGAUCCAAAUGAUGUGGCCCACCGUAACAAUGGCUCUUAGCCGGCCGUCAACAUGCCUAAAUCUUGAUAGGGCCGUAUAAAUGGAAAUGGCCCGCGGGCCUUUAGCAGGCGAAAUAAAUGUCAAUUUUGUCUCGGCCUAGUAAGAGGCCGAAAGUGUUAUGGGCCAGAGGAGGCCCAAUUUGCAAACUAGGUUUUUAACAGGCCAAAAGUCACGUUGGGCUGAAAUAAUUCCCUGCAGAACGUGGGCCCCUAAUAGACCUAAAUUCAAAGGCCCAACUGUUGUGUGGGCGGUUAACAGGCCUAGGGACAAAAUGGGCUAAGAGUUGGCCCAUUUACCAAAUGGGCCGAGGACAGGCCUAAAUUCACAGCGGGCUAGAAUUGGCCCAACUACAGAAUGGGCAGAGAAAAGGACGAAAGACGUUUCGGGCUGUUAACGGGAUAGAACUGACGAUGGGCUGCUAACAGGCCGAACGAAGCUCAGGCCGCAAUUGGGCCCAAAAACGUAGCGGGCGUUAACGGGCUUAAACUGACGAUGGGCUGGAAAUUGUAGAAUCUAGAAUGGGCCUUUGUUGGGCCGAUUUUGUGUAACUUGUAUGGGCCUGACUCAAGUAGGCCGCUAAUGGGUCGGCCCGCUUAUUUUGACAGGCCCGACUUUUUCACCGGAAUGGGCCUCUGUUGGGCCGUGCCAUGUGUCGACGUAUCAUAGGCGGCUCCUGUCCAAUGAGUGGAUGACAUCUGUCCCAAUGGUGAGGCAACACGUGUUUCCUCCGGCCAAUGAGAAUUUUACAUGUGGAAAAUCCCCAUUGGUCCAGGCUGUUAAUGGGUUAUCGGAUCCAAAACCGAACCCGAUAGCUUAACAGUGAGUCGUUACGGUCGAUGCCACGUGUCGGUCACCCUUGACGAAAGCACUUCUAUGACACACGAUUUAUCGUCAUGGAAGUGGACACUUCCGUGAUGAUAAUUUUGGUAAUGUCAUGGAACACUUCUACGACAGCACAGGUAUGACUAUCUUGAUUUUAUCAUAAAAUUGUCAUGGAUGUACAUGCAUGACAGAUAACGUGACCUACUGUGACAAACAUGUAUCAUCACGAAAGUGUAUUUUUUUUGUAGUGCCUCCACCAACAAUCACACUCCACGCCUGGUCCUAAACAAUGGGUACCUUCCAACUAUCAACAAUCCUGGGGAAGUUUUGUUUAAUUAUUUGCGAUUUCGUUUUUGAUCUUUUGAUCAUAGGACUGGGCAUCCCAAUUACCAGCCACUUUCUCGUGAAUGAUGAGAGGAGUCCACUCAUCGUGAGAAUAACCCACCUAGCAUGGAAGAUACUGACAACCCCUAGUCGCUACAUGAGCGAUUCGAGCAUACAAAACAAAUUAUUAUUUGAAGGUUUAGAGUUUGGCACAUGAAAAUUUACUUGGAACGGCAGGUAAAUACCGCAUAUAGGUAGAUAUGGUGGACACUCAUGGAAGAAACUUGGUUCAAGGAAUUUGGAUGCAUAAGAAGUAUUCCGCUUGGUACAGAAAUUUAGGCUAGCAAAAGAUUCUAAAUAGCAAGCACCACAAGUUGGAGGAUCCAUAACAAUAUAACUUCUAUACAAAUAUACCCAAGCAUAACUCAUUAUGUUGUCUUCCUUGUCGAGCUUCAACUAAUUUUAUCAGGUUUGAAAAUAAUUAAUGGGGCUCACAAUCAUAGAAGAUAUCCAAGAUAGUAUAUUUAUAUGUGAAAUCUCUCUUCCUUCAAUAUUCUUUCAUGAAUUGUUCAAGUGACCAAUACUAUGUUUGCUAACUUUCAAUAAAUUUGCCACCUCUACUUCUAUAUGUGAAGUCAUUACUCCCCAUGGUAUAAGCAUAUGAAACAAAUAUAAAUUCAGAUUUAUGAUAUUCAAUUCAUUCAACCAUUUACUCAUAGGAUAUAAGUGAAGCACACGAGUAAAUGACAAAUUAUCCAAAAAGAUAUAAGUGAAGAUCAAUGAGUAGUCAAAUAAUUAAGUAGCUAUGCGAAGACUCUCUCUCAUUUCAGAAUUUAAGAUCUUAAUAUUUUAUUCAAACAACAAGCAAAAAAAAUGAAAUGACAUUCCAAGGAUAACACAUAUCAUGUGAAGAAGCAAAAACUUAGGCUCAACCGAGGCUAACCGAUGAUUGUUGAUGAAGAAAGGUGGGAUGCCAACCGGGGCAUCCCCAAGCUUAGAUGCUUGAGACUUCUUGAAAUAUUAAUUAGGGAUUCCUUGGGCAUCCCCAAGCUUGAGCUUUUGUGUCUCCUUAAUUCCUUUCAUAUCAUAGUUUCCCGGAAUCUAAAAACUUUAUCCACACAAAACUCAACAAGAACUUGUGAGAUAAGUUAGUAUAAAUCCAUGCAAAACCUUAUCAUUCUCUACUAUAUAAAAUCACUAAAAUUAUUAUUCGAUAUUUCCUACUAAAUGCCUCUGCAUAUUUAACACUCCUAUCUUCAAAUAGAAUCAUUAAACAGGCAAACAUAUGCAAACAAUGCAAACAUAACAGCAAUCUGUCUAAACAGAAUAGUCUAUAAAGAAUGCAAGAGGAAUCAUACUUAUUUAACUCAAAAAAUUCUAAAAAUUUACCACACUGUAGAGAAUUUAUCAUUGCUUAUUCUGCAAAAAAAAUCAACAUUUUAUCACAUUCUUACUUUUCAAGGAAUUUUUGCAAUAGUGAUAAACUUUCUGUUUUGAAACAGCAACUCAUAAACUUGCAAAUUGUGCAUGGUGAAGGCUAUGAUUGACACUUUUAUCGAAAUAAAAGAUACAAAACCUUAUUCUAAAUAACAUCAAGCAAAUAUAAAUAAAAUAAAAUGACGCUCCAAGCAAAACACAUAUCAUGUGGUGAAUAAAAGUAUAGCCUCAAGUAAAGUUACCGAUGAAUGAAGACGAAAGAGGGGAUGCCAUCCGGGGCAUCCCCAAGAUUAGUUGCUUGGGUAUUCCUUGAAUAUUACCUUGAGGUGCCUUGGGAAUCCCCAAUAUUAGGAUCUUGCCUAUCCUUAUUCCCUAGUCCAUCGAAAUUUCACCCAAAACUUGAAAACUUCACAACACAAAACUCAACAGAAAAUCUUAUGAGCUCAGUUAGUAUAAGAAAAUAAAUCACCAAUUAGGUACUAUUGUGAACUCAUUCUAAAUUAAUAUUGGUGUUAUAUCUACUGUAUUCCAACAUCUCCAUGGCUCAUACCCUCUGAUACUACUCAUGGAUUCAUUAAAAUAAGCAAACAACACAUAGAAAACAUAAUAUGUCAAAAACAUAACAGUCUGUAGUAAUCUGGAAACUUUCCAUACAUCUGUAACUCCAAAAAUUCUAAAAAAUUAGGAUAGUCUAGAAAUUUGUAUAUCAAUCUUGUGUAAAAAAUCAGAUCUAAAGCACGUUCUAGUGAAUUUUCAAAUUUCCUAGACUGAGCGCAAAAGUUUCUGUUUUUGCACAGAAUCAAGUCAACUAUCAUACACACUAUCCAAAGGCUUUACUUGGCACUUUAUUGAAACAAAAGCUAUAGAACAUGAUUACUAAAAUAGCAUAAUCAUGUGAACACAAAAAACAGUAACUGUAAAAAUUGGGUUGUCUCCCAACAAGCACUUUUCUUUAAUGCCUUUUAGCUAGGCAUGAUGAUUUCAAUGAUGCUCACAUAAAAGAUAAGAAUUGAAACACAAAGAGAGCAUCAUGAAGCAUAUGACUAGCACAUUUAAGUCUAACCCACUUCCUAUGCAUAGGGAUUUUGUGAGCAAACAAUUUAUGGGAGCAAGAAUCAACUAGCAUAGGAAGGCAAAACAAGCAUAAUUCAAGAUUUUCAACACAUAGAGAGAAAACUUAAUAUUAUUGCAAUUCCUACAAGCAUAUAUUCCUCCCUCAUAGUAAUUUUCAGUAGCAUCAUGAAUUAAUUCAACAAUAUAACCAUCACAUAAAUCAUUCUUUUCAUGAUGCACAAGCAUAUAAUUUUUAUUACUCUCUACACAAGCAAAUUUCUUCUCAUUCGGAAUAGUGGGAGUAAACUCAACGAACUAACUAUCUGUAAUACUUUAUUCACAUAAUCAAUUUGAGCAUUAAAAUCAUGAUGACAAGUUUCAUGGAUAUCAUUACUCUUUAUAGCAUAAAUUUCAUCACAGUAAUCAUCAUAAAUAGGAGGCAUGCUAUCAUCAUAAUAUAUUUUCUCAUCAAAACUUGGGGGACUAAAAAUAUCAUCUUCAUCAAACAUAGCAUCCCCAAGCUUGUGGCUUUGCAUAUCAUUAGCAUCAUGGAUAUUCAAAGAAUUCAUACCAACAACAUUGCAAUCAUGCUCACCAUUCAACAAAUUAGUGCCAAACAUUUUAUUGCAUUCUUCUUCUAGCAAUUGAGCACAAUUAUCGGAAUCCUUAUUUUCACGAAAGACAUUAAAAAGAUGAAGCAUAUGUGGCAACCUCAAUUCCAUUUUUUUGUAUUUUUCUUUUAUAGAUUGAAUUAGUGAUGAAACAAGAAACUAAAAGAUUCAAUUGCAAUAUCUAAAGAUAUACCUUCAAGCACUAACCCCCUCAGCAACGGUGCCAGAAAAGAGCUUGAUGUUUACUACGCAACCUUCUUCUUGUAGACGUUGUUGGGCCUCCAAGUGCAGAGGUUUGUAGGACAGUAGCAAAUUUCCCUCAAGUGGAUGACCUAAGGUUUAUCAAUCCGUGGGAGGCUUAGGAUGAAGAUGGUCUCUCUCAAACAACCCUGCAACCAAAUAACAAAGAGUCUCUUGUGUCCCGAACACACCCAAUACAAUGGUAAAUUGUAUAGGUGCACUAGUUCGGCGAGGAGAUGGUGACAGGAGUGCAAUAUGGAUGGUAGAUAUAGGUUUUUGUAAUAUGAAAAUAUAGAAACAUCAUGGUAGCAAGUAACAAAAGUGAGCGAAAACGAUAUUGCAUGCUUAGAAACAAGGCCUAGGGUUCAUACUUUCACUAGUGCAAGUUCUCUUAACAAUGAUAACAUAAAUAGAUCAUAUAACAAUCCCUCAACAUGCAACAAAGAGUCAUUCCAAAGUCACAAAUAGCAGAGAACAAACGAAGAGACUAUUGUAGGGUAUGAACCACCUCAAAGUUAUUCUUUCUGCUCGAUCUAUUGGGCUAUUCCUGUAAGUGUCACAAACAGCCCUAGAGUUCAUACUAAAAUAACACCUUAAGACACACAUCAACCAAAACCCUAAUGUCAUCUAGAUACUCCAAUGUCACCACAAGUAUCCACGGGUUUGAUUAAAUGAUAUGCAUCACACAAUCUCAGAUUCAUCUAUUCAAACCAACAUAAAGAACUUCAAAGAGUGCCCCAAAGUUUCUACGAGAGAGUCAAGAUGAAAACGUGUGCCAACCCCUAUGCAUAAGUUCACAAGGUCACAGAACCCGCAAGUUGAUCACCAAAACAUACAUCAAGUGGAUCACGUGAAUAUCCCAUUGUCACCACAAAUAAGCACAUGCAAGACAUACAUCAAGUGUUCUCAAAUCCUUAAAGACUCAAUCCGAUAAGAUAACUUCAAAGGGAAAACUCAAUCCAUUACAAGAAGAUAGAGGGGGGAGAAACAUCAUAAGAUCCAACUAUAAUAGCAAAGCUUGCGGUACAUCAAGAUUGUGCCAAAUCAAGAACAUGAGAGAGAGAGAGAGAGAGAGAGAUCAAACACAUAGCUACUGGUACAUACCCUCGGCCCCGAGGGUGAACUACUCCCUCCCCGUCAUGGAGACUGCCGGGAUGAUGAAGAUGGACAUCGGUGAUGAUUUCCCCUUCCGGCAGGGUGCCGGAACAGGGUCCCGAUUGGUUUUUGGUGGCUACAGAGGAUUGCGGCAGCGGAACUCCCGAUCUAGGUUCUGUUCUGGAAGUUAGGGGAUAUAUAAGAGGUGUUGGCGUCGGGAACAAGUCAGGGGGGUCCACGAGGUAGGGGGCGCGCCCAAGGGGGUAGGGCGCAUCCUCCACCCUCGUGGUGGCCUCGGGACUCUUCUGGUCCAUCUUCGAUGCUCUGUGGGCUUCUUAUGGUCCAAAAAUUAUAGAUACGUUGGAGAGGUAUCAGUCACCUCAUCUUGCAAUUUUGCAACCUCUGCAUUAUGCUACACUUGAGUUGCCGGAGUCACUUCUGCUGCCAACAAAGUCCCAAAGCAUCCAGGAGUUUAGAUAAGACUUGAGCCGAUGGACGCGCAGAGCCGCUCGCACCAGUCGUUGCAGCAACAGUUGAACCGGAUGUCAUGGACGCCGCAGUUGACGAUUGUAACACUGGUUGUGUGCCGGCCAUGAAAAUUUCGGCUCUGCUCGGCGGCUCAUAAAGCUCUGGAAUACUUUCGCCGUUGGAAUAGCCCCCAAGCCCACUGUCUUGCAGUUGGUAGAUCGAUUCGGUUUCGCAGGUUGAGGACUCAUCACCUGAAUAGAUGGCUGUCUCUCCACCAGACAUUGAACCUUCAUCAAGAUCCGCCCCAUGAACAAAGCCAACAAAAGCAUGCUUCCGGCCCGGUUGAAACCUGGCGGGUCACGCACGCUGGGCCGUCUCAAUGACGUCGGUGCAGGAAUUUGGCUUAGGCUCUGAUUUGCCGAUCGUGUCGAUGAAGACGUGAAUUCCACUAUAGGGGAAGCAAUACCCUUACUCGAUUGAGUUGGCCUCGGCGCCCCAACCAACAGUAUCAAUGUAGAUCUUGCCCCGGUGACUCUUGGUCAUCCGGCCCAUGGCGUAUCACUUGAUCCCUGAGAAGCUUCCCUUCAAGAACUUGAAACCACCGUGCUCUGGCUCCACGGUGGGCGCCAACUGUCGUGGAUUUAACACGACAGAUGCCCUUGUGUAAGGACUUAGGUGUGGAGCCAUCGCAACGCAGGUUAGCUUGAGGGGGUUGAACGGGACAAAGGACAGAAGGAGUUUACCUAGGUUCGGCCCCUCUCAAUGAGGUAAAAGCCUACGUCCUGCUUCUAGUUGUAUUGCUUGAGUUUCGAUUACAAGGGAGCAAAUACGCUUGACCUACUUUCGAUUGAUUGUUUCUUGGCCUAAGCCGCCGCCGGGUCUCGCCUUUAUAUACACAGUCGAAUUCCGGCGGCUUACAAGAGUCUGAGCCGGAUCACACAACGUGACCAACCCGGUUUCUAAAUUGCCUUAUCUUAACAAAAAAGUCACCAUAUGGCGGUUCACACGUCCGAGUCUUGGGCUUUCACCAGGCCCACUCGUAUGAGCCGCCAUCUUCACACUUCAUCUUCUUAGGCCUACUUGGUCCUUCUUCAUGUUAAGCCACCAAUGGUGUAACCCGGCCCCUCCUGGGAGGGUCACACCUCGGGGCUAUAUCCUCAACAGGGGAGAUCCUGGUCGUCAUGAAGAUGCCAGUGAGCAAGUGCUAGAAGAUGAAGGAAUAACAAUAAGAGGACCAGUGAUGAGGUACCAAUUAAAGAGGUGACAGGACUUUACCAUAUACGUACUAGAUACUAGCUUCAAUUUUAUGUUUCUUUUGUAUACAGUUACAUCACUUGGUUACCUUGCUAUACCCUUAUGUUUACGAGAUUGGGAAAAAUUGAUGUCCCAUAAUGCACUUCACAAGGUUUCGCUGUUCGAUGAGGUUACGUUGUCCACGCGGACCACACCACUAAUCAUAAGCACCUAUUUUAGUCGCUCAACCUACAGCGGCAGGUACAUGUAACUUAACAGGUGUUAGUUAGGUUCAUGAGGUCCCCUGAAAUCUUCAAUGAUGUGGUAUGAUAUCUAUCUAUUUCUCAAUAACCAUUUGAGAACUUUUUGCAGUUAGUGAUAACAAGUCCAUUAGUUCAUGUAGUAGUUCAUAUACAAUUUUGGAGUAGAAAGAGUAUAAUUAUUGUAUGAUCUGUAUGUUCAUAAUCUUUCUGUGGAGUUAUAGAGGCUUAAAGCCUGACAUACAAGAGCAUGACAUUGCAGCCGACCUGUAUCCUCUACCUCGACGUUCCUGUCAAAGAGGAAAAUAUAGUCCAAAAUUCAUGAUUUCUCAUCAUUCUUUAAUUCCCGGUCCUUUUAUAGUUCAUCAUCUGUUGCUUGGGAAGCUUUUCUUUAUACUUCUAUUAUUGAAUUAAAUGUCCCAUGUUCAUCUUGCUUAAUUAUAAACUUUGGUCACCUGACAUAUUUUCAAGUCUGAUGCAUACAUCCAAGAAGUUUGCAACUUAAAAGUUUUUCCCCGCACUAAAUCUCUACUGAUACACUACCAAGUGUCUUUUCCUUCAAUAUAUGGUUAUGUUUAUCUUACAUUCAUGUAUUAAGUGUUGGGGAACGUGGUAAUUUCAAAAACUUUCCUACGAACAUGCAAGAUCUAUCUAGGUGCUGCAUAGCAAUGAGAGGGGAGACUGUGUCCACGUACCCUCAUAGACCGAAAAUGGAAGCGUUUAGUUAACACGGUUGAUGUAGUCGAACGUCUUCGCGAUCCAACCGAUCCAAGCACCAAAUGUACGGCACCUCCGCGUUCAGCACACGUUCAGCUCGAUGACAUCCCUCGUACUCUUGAUCCAGUUGAGGCCAAGGGAGAGUUCCGUCAGCACGACGACGAGGCGACGGUGAUGAUCAUGUUACCGGAGCAGGGCUUUGCCUAAGCACUACGGAGAUAUGAUCGAGGUGUGUAACUGUGGAGGGGGGCACCGUACAUGGAUAAAAGAUCAACUUGUGUGUCCACGGGGUGCCCCCUGCCCAUGUAUACAAAGGAGGGAGGAAUAGGAUGCCGGCCCUAGAGGGGGCGCGCCAAGGGGGGGAGUCCUACUUGGACUCCCGGUCCAAGUAGGAUCCCCCCUUUCCUAUUCCAACUAGGAGAAGGAAGGGAAGGAGGAAGAGGGGAGAAGGAAUGAGGGGGGAGCCGCCCCCUCCUAGUUCAAUUCGGACCAGCCCAUGGGGGGGCACGCGGCUACCCCUUGAGGCCCGUCUCUCCUUUCCCGUAUGGCCCAUUAAGGCCCAUUACUUCCCCCGGCGAAUUCCCGUAACUCUUCGGUACUCCGAAAAAUACCCAAAUCACUCGGAACCUUUCCGAUGUACGAAUAUAGCCUUCCAAUAUAUCGAUCUUUAUGUCUCAACCAUUUCGAGACUCCUCGUCACGUCCGUUAUCUCAUCUGGGACUCCGAACAAACUCCGGUCAUCAAAUCACAUAACUCAUAAUACAAAUCGUCAUCGAACAUUAAGCGUGCGGACCCUACGGGUUCGAGAACUAUGUACACAUGACCGAGACACAUCUCCGGUUAAUAACCAAUAGCGGAACCUGGAUUCUCAUAUUGGCUCCUACAUAUUCUACGAAGAUCUUUAUUGGUUAAACCGCAUAACAACAUACAUUGUUCCCUUUGUCAUCGGUAUGUUACUUGCCCGAGAUUCAAUCAUCGGUAUCAUCAUACCUAGUUCAAUCUCAUUACCGUCAAGUCUCUUUACUCGUUCUGUAAUGCUUCAUCCCGCAACUAACUCAUUAGUCAUAAUGCUUGCAAGGCUUAUAGUGAUGAGUAUUACCGAGAGGGCUUAGAGAUACCUCUCCGAAACAUGGAGUGACAAAUCCUAAUCUCGAUCUAUGCCAACCCAACAAACACCUUCAGAGACACCUGUAGAGCACCUUUAUAAUCACCCAUUUAUGUUGUGACGUUUGGUAGCACACAAAGUGUUCCUCCGGUAUUCGGGAGUUGUAUAUUCUCAUAGUCUGAGGAACAUGUAUAAGUCACGAAGAGAGCAGUAGCAAUGAAACUGUCACGAUCAUAAUGCUAAGCUAACGGAUGGGUCAUGUCCAUCACAUCAUUCUCCUAAUGAUGUGACCCCGUUCAUCAAAUGACAACACAUGUCUAUGGUUAGGAAACAUAACCAUCUUUGAUUAACGAGCUAGUCAAGUAGAGGCAUACUAGGGACACUAUGUUUUGUCUAUGUAUUCACACAUGUACUAAGUUUCCGGUCAAUACAAUUCUAGCAUGAAUAAUAAACAUUUAUCACGAAACAAGGAAAUAAAUAAUAACUUUAUUAUUGCCUCUAGAGCAUAUUUCCUUCAGUCUCCCACUUGCACUAGAGUCAAUAAUCUAGUUCACAUCGCCAUGUGAUUUAACAUCAAUAGUUCACAUCUGUAUGUGAUUAACACCCAUAGUUCACAUCGCCAUGUGGCCAACAACCAAAGGGUUUACUAGAGUCAAUAAUCUAGUUCACAUUGCUAUGUGAUUAACACCCAAAGAUUACUAAGGUGUGAUCAUGUUUUGCUUAUGAGAGAAGUUUAGUCAACGGGUCUAUCACAUUCAGAGCCAUAUGUAUUUUGCAAAUAUUCUAUGUCUACAAUGCUCUGUAUGGAGCUACUCUAGCUAAUUGCUCCCACUUUUAAUAUGUAUCCAGAUUGAGAAUUAGAGUCAUCUGGAUCGGUGUAAAAGCUUACAUCAACGUAACUCUUUACGAUGAACUCUUUAUCACCUCCAUAACCGAGAACCAUUUCCUUAGUUCUCAAUAAGGAUAAUUUUGACCGUUGUCCAGUGAUCUACUCCUACAUCACUAUUGUACCCCUUUGCCAAACUCAUGGCAAGCUGCACAUUAGGUCUGGUACACAGCAUAGCAUACUUUAUAGAACCUAUGACUGUGGCAUAGGGAAUGAUUUUCUCUUUCUAUCUUCUGCCGUGGUCGGGCUUUGAGUCUUACUCAACUUUACACCUUGUAAUACAGACAAGAACUCCUUCUUUGACUGAUCCAUUUUGAACUCUUUCAAAAACUUGUCAAGGUAUAUAUACAUUGAAAAAUCUUAUCAAGCGUCUUGAUCUAUCUUUAUAGAUCAUGAUGCCCAAUAUGUAAGCAGCUUCACUGAGGUCUUUCUUUGAAAAACUCUUAUUCAAGUAUCCCUUUAUGCUAUACAGAAAUUCUAUAUCAUUUCCAAUCAACAAUAUGUCAUCCACAUAUAAUAUUAGGAAUGCUACAGAGCUCCCACUCACUUUCUUGUAAAUACAGGCUUCUCCAAAAGUCUGUAUAAAACCAUAUGCUUUGAUCAACUCAUCAAAGCGUAUAUUUCAACUCUGAGAUGUUUGCACCAGUCUAUAGAUGGAUCGCUGGAGCUUGCACACCUUGUUAGUACCUUUAGGAUCAACAAAACCUUCUGAUUGCAUCAUAUACAACUCUUCUUUAAGAAAUAUCCAUUUAAGGAAUGCAGUUUUGACAUCCAUUUGCCAAAUUUCAUAAAAUAUGGCAACUCCGAACAUGAUUCAGACGGAUUUAAGCAUCGCUAUAGUUGAGAAAAUCUCAUUGUAGUCAACACCUCGAACAUGUCGAAAACCUUUUGCAACAAGUCAAGCUUUGUAAAUAGUAACACUAUUAUCAGUGUUCGUCUUCCUCUUGAAGAUCCAUUUAUUUAAUAUGGCUUGCCAAUCAUCGGGCAAGUCCACCAAAGUCCACACUUUGUUCUCAUACAUGGAUCCCAUCUCAGAUUUCAUAGCCUCAUGCCAUUUUGCGGAAUCUGGGCUCAUCAUCGCUUCCUCAUAGUUCGUAGGUUCAUCAUGGUAUAGUAACAUGACUUCUAGAGCAGGAUUAGCGUACCACUCUGGUGCGGACCGUACUCUGGAAGACCUACGAGGUUCUGUAGUAACUUGAUCUGAAGUUUCAUGACCAUCAUCAUUAGCUUCCUCAUAAAUUGGUGUAGAAAUCACUGGAACUAAUUUCUAUGAUGAACUACAUUCCAAUUCAAGAGAAGGUACAAUUACCUCAUCAAGAUCUACUUUCCUCCCACUCACUUCUUUCGAGAGAAACUCCUUCUCUAGAAAGGAUCCAUUUUUAGCGACGAAUAUCUUGCCUCCGGAUCUGUGAUAGAAGGUGUACCCAACAGUUUCCUUUGGGUAUCUAUGAAAACACACUUCUUCAAUUUGGUUUCGAGCUUAUCAGGUUGAAGCUUUUUCACAUAAGCAUCGCAGCCCCAAACUUUAAGAAACGACAACUUUGGUUUCUUGCCAAACCACAGUUCAUAAGGCAUCGUCUCAACGGAUUUUGAUGGUACCCUAUUUAAAGUGAAUGCAACUGUCUCUAAUGCAUAACCCCAAAACGAUAGUGGUAAACUGGUAAGAGACAUCAUAGAUCGCACCAUAUCUAAUUAAGUGCGGUCACGACGUUCGGACACACCAUUACGCUGAGGUGUUCCAGGUGGCGUGAGCUGUGAAACUUAGGGAUUGCAAUGGGUCGGGUUUGUGGCGGGUGGAGCUGGUCCAAAUCCAACCCAUGACCCAUCUUCCUACUCUCUGCCCAUCCACCAAAUUAUCCAUGGGCACAACUUGUGCCCAUGCCCAAACCCGCUGGAUACCCACAUACCCAUGGAGCUCCAUGGGCAUAGAAAAGUCAGCAUGAAGCCUUCCCAAAGAUCAAAUUAGCUCAUCAUCAUUCACUCACAAAUGACAACAGAAGCAACAUGCAUAAGUAGGCAACAAGUAAUACGAUUAUUCCUUAAGUCUGGCAUACCAGAGGUUGAUUCUAUAUCAUAUAGCUUAUGGCACUAGUUGCAUAUUGCCUACCAUUUCCCAUUGAUUUUCUCUUUCUACUGUCACUGGCAUAUGGCCCCACAUGUCAUGUGGAUAUCCACUGGAUAUCCAUGGAGCACAAAUUAUAAACGUGCCCAACCCGGCUAUUCAUGGGUAUCCAUAUCCACGGACCCAUGGGCAGAAAUGCGCUCCAUACCCUUGCCCAACCGGGUCGGGUAUCCAUGGGUAUCCAUAUCCAUGGAUAAACUUGCCAUCCCUACUGAAACUAUUCCACAUUGUUUUAAUGAAGGCCAAACUCGUAACUCAAAUAUUCUCCUCCACGAUCAGAUCGUAGAAACUUUAUUUUCUUGUUACGAUGAUUCUCCACUUGACUGAAAUUCUUUGAACUUUUCAAAUGUUUCAGACUUGUGUUUCAUUAAGUAGAUAUGCCCAUAUCUGCUUAAAUCAUCUGUGAAGGUCAGAAAAUAACUAUACCCACCACGAGCAUCAACACUCAUUGGACCGCAUAUAUCGGUAUGUAUUAUUUCCAAUAAGUCAGUAGCUUGUUCCAUUGUUCCGGAGAACGGAGUUUUAGUCAUCUUGCCCAUAAGGCAUGGUUCGCAAGUAUCAAAUGAUUCAUAAUCAAGUGAUUCCAAAAGUCCAUCUUUAUGGAGUUUCUUGAUGCGCUUUACACCGAUAUGACCCAAACGGCAGUUCCACAAAUAAGUUGCACUAUCAUUAUGAACUUUGUAUCUUUUGGCAUCAAUAUUAUGUGUAUCAUUAUGAUCGAGAUUCAAUAAACCAUCAACAUUGGGUGUAUGACCAUAGAAGGUUUUAUUCAUGUAAACAGAAUAACAAUUAUCCUCUGUCUUAAAUGAAUAACCAUAUUGCAAUAAACAUGAUCUAAUCAUAUUUAUGCUCAACGCAAACACCAAAUAACAUUUAUUUAGGCUCAACACUAAUCCUCAAAGUAUAGGGGUGUGCGAUGAUGAUCAUAUCAAUCUUGGAACUACUUCCAACACACAUCAUCACUUCAUCCUCAACUAGUCUCUAUUUAUUCUGCAACUCCUGUUUCGAGUUACUAAUCUUAGCAACUGAACAAGUAUCAAAUACCCAGGGAUUACCACGAGCACUAGUAAGGUACACAUCAAUAAUAUUUAUAUCAAAUAUACCUUUGUUCACUAUGCCAUCCUUCUUAUCCGCCAAAUAUUUGGGGCAGUUCCACUUCCAGUGACCAUUUCCUUUGCAGUAGAAGCACUCAGUUUCAUGCUUAGGUACAGCUUUGUGCUUCUUCACGGGACUGACAACUUGCUUUCCAUUCUUCUUGAAGUUCCCUUUCUUCCCUUUGCCCUUUUCUUGAAACUAGUGGUAUUGUUUAAUCAUCAAUACUUGAUGCUCUUUCUUGAUUUCUACCUUCGUCGAUUUCAGCAUCACGAACCGCUCAGGAAUAUUUUUUCGUCAUCCCUUGCAUACUAUAGUUCAUCACGAAGUUCCAGUAACUUGGUGAUGGUGACUAGAGAACUCUGCCAAUCACUAUCUUAUCUGGAAGAUUAACUCCCACUUGAUUCAAGUGAUUGUAGUACCCAGACAUUCUAAGCACAUUCUCACUAGUUGAGCAAUUCUCCUCCAUCUUUUAGGCAAAGUACUUGUCAGAGGUCUCAUACCUCUUGACACGGGCAUGAGUCUGAAAUACCAAUUUCAGCUCUUCGAACAUCUCAUAUGCUCUGUGAUGUUUCAAAAAUGUUUUUGAAGUCCCGGUUCUAAGCCGUAAAGCAUGGUGCACUAGAGUAUCAAGUAGUCAUCAUAUUGAGCUAGCCAAACGUUCAUAAUGUUUUUGUCUGCUCCUGCAAUAGGUCUGUCACCUAGCGGUGCAUCAAGGACAUAAUUAUUUUGUGCAGCAAUGAGGAUAAACCUCAGAUCACGGACCCAGUCCGCAUCAUUGCUACUAUCAUCGUUCAACUUAUUUUUCUCUAGGAACAUAUCAAAAAUAAAGGGAAUCUACAACGCGAGCUAUGGAUCUACAACAUAAUUUGCAAAAUACUAUCAGGACUAAGUUCAUGAUAAAUUAAAGUUCAGUUAAUCAUAUUACUUAAGAACUCCCACUUAGAUAGACAUCCCUCUAGUCAUCUACAUGAUCACGUGAUCCAAAUCAACUAAACCAUGUUCGGUCAUCACGUGAGAUGGAGUAGUUUUCAAUGGUGAACAUAACUAUGUUUAUCAUAUCUACUAUAUGAUUCACGCUCGACCCUUCGGUCUCCAGUGUUCCGAGGCCAUAUUUGCAUAUGCUAGGCUCGUCAAGUUUAACCCGAGUACUCUACGUGUGCAAAACUGGCUUGCACCCGUUGUAUGUGAACGUAGAGCCUAUCACACCCGAUCAUCAUGUGGUGUCUCAGCAUGAAGAACUGUCGCAACGGUGCAUACUCAGAGAGAACACUUAUACCUUGAAAUUUUAGUAAGGGAUCAUCUUAUAAUGCUACCGUCGAACUAAGCAAAAUAAGAUGCAUAAAAGAUAAACAUCACAUGCAAUCAAAAUAUGUGACAUGAUAUGGCCAUCAUCAUCUUGUGCCUUUGAUCUCCAUCUCCAAAGCAUCGUCAUGAUCUCCAUUGGCACCUGCUUGACACAUUGAUCUCCAUCGUAGUGUCGUGGUCGUCUCGCCAACUAUUGCUUCUACAACUAUCGCCAACUCAUAGUGAUAAAGUAAAGAAAUUACAUGGCGUUUGCAUUUCAUACAAUAAAGCGACAACCAUAAGGACCUUGCCAGUUGCCGAUAACUUUUACAAAACAUGAUCAUCUCAUACAAUAAUGUAUAUCACAUCAUGUCUUGACCAUAUCACAUCACAACAUGCCUUGCAAAAACAAAUUAGACGUCCUCUACUUUGUUUUUGCAAGUUUUACGUGGCUGCUAUGGGCUUCUAGCAAGAACGUUCUUACCUACGCAUCAAAACCACAAUGGUGAUUUAUCAAGUUUGGUGUUUUAACCUUCAACAAGGACCGGCCGCAGUCAAAUUCGAUUCAACUAAAGUUGGAGAAACAGACACCCGCCAGCCACCUUUAUGCAAAACAAGUUACAUGUCUGUCAGUGGAACCGGUCUCAUGAACGUGGUCAUGUAAGGUUGGUCCGAGCCCACUUCAUCCAACAAUACCGUCGAAUCAAAAUAAGAUGUUGGUGGUAAGAAGUAUGACGAUCACCACCCACAACUUUUCGUCUUCUACUCGUGCAUAUCAUCUACGCAUAGACCUGGCUUGGAUGCCACUCUUGGGAAACGUAGCAAGCAAUUUCAAAAAAAAUCCUACGCUCAUGCAAGAUCUAUCUAGGAGAUGCAUAGCAACAAGAGGGGGAGAGUGUGUCCACGUACCCUCGUAGACCGAAAGAGGAAGCGUUUGACAACUUGGUUGAUGUAGUCGAACUUCUUCUAGCUCCGACCGAUCAAGUACCGAACGUACAGCACCUCCGAGUUCUGCACACAUUCAGCGCGAUGAUGUCCCUUGCCUUCUUGAUCCAGCAAGGUGUAGAGGAAGUACAUGAGUUCUGUCAACACGACGGCGUGGUGACGGUGAUGGUGAAGUGAUACGCGCAGGGCUUCGACUAAGCACCACGAGAAUAUGACCGGAGGCAUAAACUGUGGAGGGGGGUGCCGCACAUGGCUAACGAUUAUUAUUGUGUGUUAUAGGCGGCCCCUUCCCCACAUAUAUAUAGGUGGGAGGGGAGGAGAGGCAGCCAAGGGGCACCCCAAGUAGGAUCUGAAUCCUACUUGGGGUGUCCCAAGUGGCGCUCCCUUUCCAUGUAUGCAUGAAGGGGAAGGAAAGAGGGGGUGAGGGAAGGAAGUGGGAGUCCUAAUCCACACUUUCCUUUCCCUUCCCCCAUUUCCUUCUCCUCCUCCUAUGGCCUUAUAGGGCGCACCAGCCCCUUGUCGGCUGGUGUGUUCCUUCACAAGGACCAUAUGGCCCAUAGGAUUGUCGGGGGCACCCGAAACACCUUUCGGUGACCCGAUAAGUACCCGAUAACCUCCGGAACACUUCCGGUGUCUGAAUACCAUCGUUCUAUAUAUCAAUCUUUACCUAUUGACCAUUUCGAGACUCAUUGUCAUGUCCAUGAUCUCACCAGGACUCCAAACAACAUUCGGUCACCAAAUCACAUAACUCAUAUAAUACAAUAUCGUCAUCGAACGUUAAGCGUGCGGGCCCUACGGGUUCAAGUACUAUGUAGACAAGAGCGAGACACCUCUCUGGUCAAUAACCAAUAGCGGGACCUAGAUGCUCAUAUUGGCUCCGACAUAUUCUACGAAGAUCUUUAUCGGUCGAACCGUUAUGACAACAUACGUUAUUCCCUUUGUCAACGGUAUGUUACUUGCCCGAGAUUCGAUCGUCGGUAUCUACAUACCUAGUUCAAUCUCGUUACCGGCAAGUCUCUUUACUCGUUCCAUAAUACAUCAUCUUGUAACUAACUCAUUAGUCACUUUGCUUGCAAGGCUUGUUAUGAUGUGCAUUACCGAGAGGGCCGGAGAUACCUCUCCGAUACUCGGAGUGACAAAUCCUAAUCUCGAUUUAUGCCAACCCAACAAACACCUUUGGAGAUACCUGUAGAGCAUCUUUAUAAUCACCCAGUUACGUUGUGACGUUUGAUAGCACACAAGGUAUUCCUCCAGUAUCCGGGAGUUGCAUAAUUUCAUAGUCGAAGGAAUAUGUAUUUGACAUGAAAAAAGCAAUAGCAAUAAAACUGAACGAUCAAUAUGCUAAGCUAACGGAUGGGUCUUGUACAUCACAUCAUUCUCCUAAUGAUGUGAUCCCGUUCAUCAAAUGACAAUACAUGUCUAUGGUUCGGAAACUUAACCAUCUUUGAUUAACGAGCUAGUCUAGUAGAGGCUUACUAGGGAUACAGUGUUUUUUCUAUGUAUCCGCACAUGUAUCAAGUUUCCGGUUAAUACAAUUCUAACAUGAAUAAUAAACAUUUAUCAUGAUAUAAGGAAAUAUAAAAUAACAACUUUAUUAUUACCUCUAGGGCAUAUUUCCUUCAAAACUCAUCUACAAUGUUCAAUUUAAACUAGGCUAUAAAAACUACAAACAACAUGUACCAAAUUCAUGUAAAAAAUGUGAUGUUGAAGCAAUACAUACCUUGAGGACGUUUUGUCAAACACCUUGCGAGCGCCGAGUGGUAAAGGGAGGCUGGGCGCUGUUCGUCGGAGGACUGCUGCGUGCGAGGGGCGGUGGUGACUAGAGGGAGAUAGAGGAAGCAGCGGUAGCGCGGGGAUAGGCCGGGGAAGCGCUAAAACGGUGGCCGGAAGAAAUGGGGUGCCAUGGGUGGCGGCAGCGCCAGCGGCUGGAUGGGGUAGGUGGAGUUGCAAGCGGGCGCUCGAGUGUCCAACGCGCGGGAGCGAGCGCAGCAAAUAAGUGGCGUGCGAUGGCAUUUCGGCCCGCGCGCUGAACUAGUUUUUGCGUCUCCGCUGGAGCGCCCGGAGCGGUAGCGCGCGUGUAAAACGCACUGAUUUUUUAGUGCAGCGCUUAUGUAAUGCCCCGGAUCCGAUGCGCCAGGUGUCUGCUAGUUAUUUGUCGGCGUUGCCAUGUCAUUUGCUUGCUUGUUGCAUUUUAUCAUGUCAUCAUGUGCAUCUCAUUUUGCAUACGUGUUCGUCUCAUGCAUCCGAGCAUUUUCCCCGUUGUCUGUUUUCCAAUCCGACACUCCUAUGUCAUCCGGCGUUCCCCUUUUGUCUCCUAUUGUGAGAGGGUGUUAAACGUUCUCGGAAUGGACCGAGUCUUGCCAAGCGGCCUUGGUAUACCACCGGUAGACCGCCUGUCAAGUUUCGUGCCAUUUGGAGGUCGUUUGAUACUCCUACGGUUAACCGCCUAGCCCGCAAAGCCCCUUUUGUCUUGCAGACCAAACCCCCUCCAACUAGCCCAAAACCCAUCCAAACCCCUUCCAUGCUCUCGGUCGUUCGAUCACGAUCGUGUGGGCGAAAACCGCACCCCAUUUGGAGUCUCCUAGCUCCCUCUACCUACAAAUAGGUGUCUCCCCCUGAAUUUUCGCGCAGAUGAACCCUAGCCUCUUCCCCUGCGCGCGCCGGACAUGUCCGCCCGGUGGCCGGACACGUCCACCGCCGCCUCCACCUCACUCCGGCCAAUCGCGGCCUGCCACGUCAUCNNNNNNNNNNNNNNNNNNNNNNNNNNNNNNNNNNNNNNNNNNNNNNNNNNNNNNNNNNNNNNNNNNNNNNNNNNNNNNNNNNNNNNNNNNNNNNNNNNNNNNNNNNNNNNNNNNNNNNNNNNNNNNNNNNNNNNNNNNNNNNNNNNNNNNNNNNNNNNNNNNNNNNNNNNNNNNNNNNNNNNNNNNNNNNNNNNNNNNNNNNNNNNNNNNNNNNNNNNNNNNNNNNNNNNNNNNNNNNNNNNNNNNNNNNNNNNNNNNNNNNNNNNNNNNNNNNNNNNNNNNNNNNNNNNNNNNNNNNNNNNNNNNNNNNNNNNNNNNNNNNNNNNNNNNNNNNNNNNNNNNNNNNNNNNNNNNNNNNNNNNNNNNNNNNNNNNNNNNNNNNNNNNNNNNNNNNNNNNNNNNNNNNNNNNNNNNNNNNNNNNNNNNNNNNNNNNNNNNNNNNCGACCAGCUCCCUCCGCAGCCCCGGCCUCCCUCCGCCUCGGGCCCGCCUCUGCCGCCCUCGCCGCCCAGCUCCUCUCGCCGGAGCCGCAGCUCGCCUCCCCGCCGCCUCUUCCUCGCCUCGGCUAGGACCGGCCCACCAUCGUCCGGAUCGGAGGGGCCCUGCCGCGCCUCGUCGCGCCCCGCCUCCGCCCUUCCCCGUCGACGCCGACCACCUCCUACUCCUCCCCGCGCCGCUGGGAGCUCGCCGGAGUUCGCCCUCGCCGGAGUUCGCCGGAUCCAGGAAGCUGUACCAGAUCCACCAAGCCCCCGAUCCAAACGCCCCCGUCCCGGAUCGCCCCGUCCAGCUUUUCCCCGAGGUGAUUUUUUGGCCAAGUCCCCGAAAUAUUUUGCAUAAUGUUGCCAUGUUCAUCGCAUCAUAAAUUCAUACAUACUGCUCCGUUUCGUGCGUGUAAUAUGUCAAAUUGUUCGCCUCAACGAGUACUUCAACUCUUUCCAUUGCAUCAUGUUCAUUUGAGCUCAUCUUGAUGCCUGAAUCAUCGUUGCAAGAGUGAUAUAUGAUGUUGUCUGCUGUCUGUUAACAGAACAUGCUCAUUUGUCAUUUUUGCCAUGAUUGAUGUAUGCAUCCUAUGAGGUUGAUGUCUACAUGUGUUUUGAACUAUGUCAUGUCUUCUUUAUAGAGGUACUUACCAUGUAUUUUUGUGAUGAAUGUGGUGACUAGCACAAUCAUCUAAACUAGGCUUCGUGAUGAUGCUGAUUUUAGUCCCUGUUCUGUUGUUAUUUCGAUGCCAUGUAAACAUGUUGCUACAGAGAGAUCCAUGCUUAUUUUGAGAUACUUCAGUAAGGAUGUUUUGAACAUGUGCUUAUGAUCUAUCCAUUAAUGCCCUUGGUUACAAUUAUGGAGUAGUCUAGCAUGUCAUUUUCGUGCUCUACUUUUGCUAUAAAAUGUUUCCUGGCAGAUUGUUUACAUGUCAUUCAAUUUUGACAAUGUUGUUGUAGUUGAUCCUUGCAUGCUAUGAACUUGUUCUUACCUUGUUUAGUUUCAUAAACAUGUCUUCUUGCUGAUUCUAUGCUUAUCUUGUUAUUCAAUGACUUGUGGUGAGUGAAUCAAGCUUGUUAAGUAGUGUACUCGCUGUUGCCGUUUUGCUAGGUUGAAUCUGUUAUUUUGUGAUGCUAUGUAAACCUGCUGCUACAAGUCAUUCUAUGCAUAUGCUGGAGAUGUUCACUAAGGGUAUUUUGUUAUACAUGUCAUGCUCUAUCCAUCCAUGCCCCUGGUUGCAUUUAUGGCCUGCUGUAGCUUGUUGUAAUCUUGCUCCAAAGUUGCUAAAUAAUGUUGUUGUCAGCCUGUUAACAUUAAGUUCAGUUGUUGCCAUGAUUGUUGUUAGUGAUACAUCCACCCUAUGAACUUGCUCUUGCCAUUCCUAGCUUCAUAAAUAUGUCUUCUUACUGUUGGUUGCCUUGCCAUGCCAUGUUUUGCUUGGUGGUGAGUGGUACAAGCUCGCCAACAUGCCUACUUAUUGUUGUUCCUGCCAUGUAUGAAUCUGUAUUAUAACUUGCUAUGUUUACAUGGGUGCCAUCAUAUCUUCUGAUCCUUUUUUGGUUCAUGGUCAGUAAGGGCCUUUUGUUCUAUGCAUUUAGUAGGUUCAUGCCAUGCCUUUGUUUGCCAUGACAAGUUCCUGUAACAUGUUGUUUGAUAGCUCUAAACAUUGCAACCUGAUGUUAUUUUCUGCAAAGUCUGAACUAUUAUUAUUUGCAAUCUUGCCAUGUGUGUUUGAGCAUGUUCUAGUGAUUUCUGGAGAUAGCUCAGUGUUCAUGUUUUGUUAUGAUUUACCUGUAAAUCAUGCUCAUGCCUUUUGUUUUCUUGUUGGGGUCCUGUAGCAUGUUGUUUUGAUGCUUGUAAUAUGCCUAGUUGCUGUUUUGGACAGAUUGUUGCUAUAACUUGUAUAGAGUGUGUGUUGAACCGUUGCUCCGUUUUGAGUGUGCUCUAUAUGAAACUUUCUUGAAUUUGCAUGUAGCUUCAUAUUAUCAUGUUGCAUCCUUGUUUUGGAGUGUUUGCUUGAUGUUUGUAUGCAUUUUGCAUCAAUGCCAUGUUUAUCUUGUUUUGCCCAUAUCUUCUAGGUCGUAGCUCCGAACUAAAUGAACCUUAUAUGUAACUUGACUAGAAUCUCGUGUAGAUCAUCUUGGUGCAUCUUAACUUGCUGUUUAACAACUUGAACAUAAGGUUAAUUCAGAUCUGGACCAAUUUCGAAAUUUGCAUAUGAGGACUUACCGGGUUAGUUCUAUGUUGCUUCCGGCCUCAUUUAAACUUGCCUUGAUGUGUUCUCUUGUAUGCAUCAUCUCUUGCCAUGAGUGGCUUCAUGUAGUCUUGUCUUGUAUCAUACUUGUUUGUGCAUCAUGACAUGUUCAUGUGUGGUGUGUUUACUAUGUUGUGUGCUUCUUUUCGAUAGUUCCUGUUUCUGUUGCGAUUGUGAGGAUUCAUUCGUCUACGCUUGGCUCAUCUUCGUGGCUUCAUCUUCUGGACUUGUUCUUCUUCCUAGCGGGAUUUCAGGCAAGAUGACCGCUACCCUGGAUCUCACUACUAUCAUUGCUAUGCUAGUUGCUUCGUUCUAUCGCUAUGCUGCGCUACCUACCGUUUACUCUUCAAGCCAUCCCAAAUUGCCAUGAACCCCUAACCUUUGACACCCUUCCUAGCAAACCGUUGUUUGGCUAUGUUACCGCUUUGCUCAGCCCCUCUUAUAGCGUUGUUAGUUGCAUGUGAAGUUGAAGAUUGCUCCUUGGUGGACAGGAUUAUGUUUGGGAUAUCACAAUAUCUCUUAUUUAAUUGAUGCAUCUAUAUACUUGGUAAAGGGUGGAAGGCUCGGCCUUAUGCCUGGUGUUUUGUUCCACUCUUGCCGCCCCUAGUUUCCGUCAUAUCGGUGUUAUGUUCCCGGAUUUUGCGUUCCUUACGCUGUUGGGUGAUUUAUGAGACCCCCUUGACAGUUCGCUUUGAAUAAAACUCCUCCAGCAAGGCCCAACCUUGGUUUUACCAUUUGCCUCACCUAGCCUUUUUUCCCCUUGGGAGUCGCGCUCUCGAGGGUCAUAUUUAUUUAACCCCCCCCCCUCCCCCGGGCCAGUGCUCGUCAUGAGUGUUGGUCCAAUCUGUCAGCCGCCAGUGGCCACCAGGGGCAACUCUGGGCUGGCCUACCGGAAGUUUGGACAAUCCGGUGUGCCCUGAGAACGAGAUAUGUGCAGCUCCUAUCAGAAUUUGUCGGCACAUUCGGGCGGCUUUGCUGGUCUUGUUUUACCAUUGUCGAAAUGUCUUGUAAACCGGGAUUCCGAGUCUGAUCGGGUCUUCCUGGGAGAAGGUAUAUCCUUCGUUGAUCGUGAGAGUUUAUCAUGGGCUAAGUUGGGACACCCCUGCAGGGUAUAAUCUUUCGAAAGUCGUGCCCGCGGUUAUGCGGCAGAUGGGAAUUUGUUAAUGUCCGGUUGUAGAUAACUUGACACCAGAUCCAAAUUAAAACGCAUCAACCGCGUGUGUAGCCGUGAUGGUCUCUUUUCGGUGGAGCCCGGGAAGUGAACACGGUUUUGGGUUAUGUUUGACGUAAGCAGGAGUUCAGGAUCACUUCUUGAUCAUUGCUAGUUGACGACCGUUCCGCUUGCUCUCUUCUCGCUCUUAUUUGCGUAUGUUAGCCACCAUAUAUGCUUAGUCGCUGCUGCAGCCUCACCACUUUACCCCUUCCUUUCCCUUUAAGCUUUGCUAGUCUUGAUACCCAUGGUAAUGGGAUUGCUGAGUCCUCGUGGCUCACAGAUUACUACAAUAACAAUUGCAGGUACAGGUUAUGCGAUGAUCAUGAUGCGAGAGCGACGUUUGCUUGUUUGGAGUUCUUCUUCUGCUUCUUCUUCGAUCAGGGGAUAGGUUCCAGGUCGGCAGCCUGGGCUAGCAGGGUGGAUGUCGUUUGAGUUUUUGUUUGUGUUUCAUCCGUAGUCAGAUGUUGUUCUUAUGCAUAAUGAUGUUGUAUUCGUGUGGCAUUGUAUGCCUUUUGUAUGUAUCCCCAUCUAUUAUGUAAUGUUGAUGUAAUAAUAUCCACCUUGCAAAAGUGUUUCAAUAUGCGGUUCUAUCCUUGGUGGGACCUUCGAGUCUCUUUAGGAUAGUAUCGCAUAUUGGGCAUGACAGCUUAUAUAGCGCGUCUAUUGGAGAUGCUCUUAGUGGGGAGGUGGGGCGUGGGAGCUCUUUAUUUUGGAGGGAUCGAGAGGAGUGGGAACGAUGGGCUCCAGGGGUUCGGCAAACGGGGCCCUUAUAGACGCGAGGGGUACCACAAUAUUAUUAUUAUUAUUUAUAUAUAUAUAUAUAUAUAUAUAUAUUGUUGGAACAUUCUAAAGAGACUUUGCAGAAUGAUUACCUCACUGCAAUUGCUUCAUUGAUUUGACAAGCUUCCAAUAAUUUGCAUGACUGAAAGUAUAAAACUAACAUUUAAGUAUGAUGACAGUCACUUAUACAUUUUCCAACUGUUGUUUGCCUGACCUCACAAACAUACUAAUUCAGUGAUUAGUUCAUUUUCCUUUUGUCUCUUAUCUACAUUCUAAGAAUGCACCUCAUGAACGUUUACAAUAUGGCAUACUAAUAUCCCGCAGCAACGCGCGGGGUAUCAUCUAGUUUAGCCAGUACUAUAAGACCUAACAUUUCUUUUGUUGUUAUCAAACUGAGCCGAUUUUUUUGAAAACCGGGAGAUGAUCAUUGGAAAGCUUUAGAGAGAGUUAUGCGUUAUUUGAAAGGCACUGCGAAUUAUGGAAUUCACUACACUAAGUACCCAAAGGUGCUUGAAGGGUAUAAUGACUCAAACUGGAUCUUAGAUGCUGAUGAGAUAAAGUCCAUGAGCGGAUAUGUAUUCACUCUGGAGGUGGCGUUGUUUCUUGGAAGUCUUGCAAGCAAACCAGCUUAGUAAGGUCAACAAUGGAAGCAGAACUCACAACACUAGAUACACCUACGGUCAAAGCAGAUUGGCUUCGUCGGCUCUUGAAUGACUUGCCAGUUGUUGAGAAAACUCUACCAGGUAUACUUAUGAACUGCGACAAUCAAACUAUGAUCACGAAAAUGAGCAGCUCAAAGGAUAACAUGUUCAGAGAAGGUUAGAGUCUGUCAGAAAAAUGAGAAAAUUCGGAGUUAUUGUAUUGGAUUAUAUCCAAACAUCGAAAAAUCUGGCAGAUUCUUUUACUAAGGGUCUAUCACGUAAUGUGAUAGAUAAUGCAUCGAAGGAGAUGGGUAUGAGACCCAUAAUAUAAGUUGUUCAUAGUGGUAACCUAGUCUAUGUGGUCGAGUUAGAAACACCAUGAAGAAUCCUCUUUAAGCUAAGAAUAUAAUCAUCUUCUGUUUGUGACCUGUCAUAGAUUUAAGCUGUAUACUUUACAAAACGCCAGAAUUAUCUUAUGGAAGCAUAACAUUGCAGUUUAAAAUAAUGCCUAGGAGUUUUUUUUAGAAAAGGAGGAUGACCCCCGGCCUCUGCAUCUGGGCGAUGCAUACGGUCACUUUAUUAAUUAUUCUCACAAGACCUUACAAAGUAAUACCACAGUAAUCCUAAAGCCGCCCUCUAAGCAACAAACUGUCGCUACACCUAUCCAGUUGAUGAAGGGGCUCAGAUAGACUGGGCCUAAUACCAAACAAACAUCGCAGCCAAACCUAACAUCUAAGACCUGAGGACCCAUCCAGGACGCCUGCCGGGCAUGGGUCUCGCCGGUCCGGCGUGCUCUCAGAGGCCGCUGCCGCAAACUGCCACCGCUCCAUUUUCAGAACUGUACUGAUGCAUCAACCUCGCUAGGUGUAGCUAUCAUCGACGCCACCACGGCGCCCAACGACACCUCCUCCCUGUGCGCAAACAGCUGAGCACGUUGUGGUCGCCACUGAUACACCUCAGCACCAUGCUGUCAAGUACCACCAGCCGACACAGCUUGAAGUCUUUGGAGAAUCUGUCAUGCGUACCACCUGCCGAUCAGGCAUGACAAAGCGUAGGUUAGACAUGACUUGACAUCUCCACCGAAGCUCCGUGCAAGGCGAAGCCGCUCCACCUCCUGCCUCUGACUUCCAGCGCUGCUCCACAAACAAUGCUCCCAAGAGAGAAACGACACCGCAGUGUCGCCAUCGUCCGAUCUGGAACACCAGAUCCUAGGGUUUCCUCCAGAGCAGCACGAGUGGGUCGACAGUAGUUACACGACGAUGCCUCCAUCAAGGAAACGGCGUAGAAUGCCGCCAUCACCUUCCAACGGCUCGGUUUUCAGCGGCAACCAUGUUUCCCCAACUCGCAGCCGGGACUAGAUGAUGGAUCCCGAGAUCCGAUCACCAAGCCUCUAGCCGGCCAUCUCUGACGAAGAAGAUGACCACCACCAUUGGCCAGCGAGACGACGCCAGAUGAAGUAGGGCGCUGCCAGCGUGCGUCCUGGCCAGCACCACCAGCGCUCGGCCUGUCCCGGACCACGCCUCAUGACCGAGGGCAACGACAAGCGCUGCCCCGGCGAGGACGCAGACCGGAAGCCCAGAUCUGGUCCACCCGCGCGCUGCCACGUGGCCACCACCAAGCGCCGUUCAGGGACAGCCCCGCCGCCGUGAGGGACGCCGCCCCACGGGCAGCAGGCGCCGACCACCGGCGGAACUCCGCCGCGCGCCACCAGCCACCGCGAGAUCUUCGCGAGAACGACGAGGACCCCCCGCCGCCACCUUCCCUGGGGACCACGCGGGCUUCGCCUGUGUCCCCUCCGGGGGCGGCGAAGCGGGGGAGGAGCGGGAAGGGGCGGCUGGCGGCGAGGUUAGGGUUUUCCCCAUGCGCCAGAGGCGACGCGCGGGGGACGUCUCUCGUCUCGUCUCAUCUCUACUUGCCUGUAAGAAAUGAUCCCUAGGAGUACAUUCAUAAGAGCUCACAUACCAUGUGAUCUUCACAUGGAUAGCCAAAAGCUGCUGCUCUUUGUCUUGCACAGACCAAACGGAUGGGAAGAAGGUUCACAACGUGGAACAAUAUCAUCCAGAGAACUAUUGUUUCUCCAUGAGUGAGCUGUGCAUGAGUUAAAGACAAGUGAAAGAAUCGACAAACUAACUACAAAUAAAUUCCUGGCCAUCAGGUGAUGUAGAAUCAUAUGUUACUAUGAUUCUGAUAGUUUCUGCAAGUGGUACAAUUUUCUGCGGAAGAGCAAGAAUAGUGUUGACACAAAUUGCAGCCUCUCUUUUCAGAGAACGGCGCUGCUUUUGGGUCGCUGGUUACUGGCAUAAAUACUGGAGGAACGGUCUCCAAGUAAGAAACGGUGUCCCGUCUUGAACCGUAACUUAACAAAAUUACCGAAAAGAGUACGUAUUAGAUUGCUGUCUUUGCUUGUGUGAAAUCAAGCUUGACAGAGGCACGGACAGGCCACACAAUUGCAGGAAAAAAAACUGGAUCCUUAUUCUGUCAAAAAGUGUAGAUUGCACGUGCAUAAGCAAGGUAGCUAAGUAAGUACUCCCUCCGCCCCAAAAUAAAUGUCUUAACCUUAAUAAAAUUUUAUAUUAAAAUUAAUAUAAAGUUAAGACACUUAUUUUGAAAUCGAAAGAGUAGAACAGAAGAACGAUUGGCGUAAAAGGUAAAACUAAUCAUGCCAUCUUGAUGAUCAGAGAUGAAGACCCCUAUGCUUCACUUCACACCAAUUGUGUGAGUACUAACAAUGCUUUUGUUCCUCAUUAUUAUUUCCUUUCUCCACCGCUGGGCCACUUGUGCGUUUCUCUUCUUAUAUUCCACUAACGAAAAUCAGCAGUCUUGCUCCUUUUUCCUCAUUUUUUUAAGUGCAAUGUACGACUCCAUUCCACUACAAAUAUUUUCUAAGUGGGAACUUGUUGCAUUUUAUUAAAUCACCGAAAUUCCAAGUUUACCACCGACUAUCCGAAACCAUGUUUUACACGACUUAUUCAUACAAUCUUCCUUAACUACAAUAUGUACAGUGCCAUUAGCAAAACGACACAUCCAACCGACUUAGCCUCUCCAACUACCAAUAUUAGGCCAUCUCCAAAGCGGACCUUCAAAUCACCCACAUACGUCUGGACCGCAAGGUCUGGACGUGGUUUGUCAUUCAAUGCAGGCAUAUAUCGAUCCGCCGAGCGGUUCAGACGUAUUUUUCCAGCAAACUCGAGACAAACAUAGAGGGCUUUGCAGGAGUCCGGACAAUAUCCACGUAGGAAUCGACACCCCUGGCCCAUCCAAAACCCCUCCCGAACACCACGCCUCCAUCCUCCCCAUUUUCUCUCCUUUCUCUCCCGCCUUUGCCGCCGCUCCACCACCCCGGCCGCCAUGCCACACCCCUUCCGGAACUCUACGUCUCCGUCACCUCGAGUGUUCCAGCCGGGCUCCAUCCCGUUUCUCCUCCGUCGUCAUUCAACUCCUCCCCUCCGACUGCCUCGCCAGGUAGCAUCCGCUAUUGCUAUACUCAACAUGCAUGACAACUGUUCGAUGAAUUGCUAGAGCUAAAAAGUCGUCCCUUCUUCUUUCAAGCAAUGGAUUCCGUUUUGGAGUACAUAUACGAGCACUAUGUUGAGUUGUUCGAUGGUUCGUUCAACGAGGAGGGCUGCCCGGAUGAGAUGCCGAUGAUGCAAGCAGUCUUUGAAGACGCGGAGCGUGCAGAGGAGCAUGUUCUCAAUUUGAAGGGAGCGAUCAAGGGUCAUCGAAUACUCAACCGCAACAGGGCGCCCGACCAUUUGACACCGAUGAAUGACUACUUUGCCCCGGAUGCACUCUUCGCUGACCAUUUUUGCCGGCGUUUUCAUAUGUGCAAGAUUGUCUUCGAUAGUUUGUACCAUGGCCCCGAUCCUAUGAUGACUAUUUCAUCUUAAAGAAGGGCACCGUGGGAACGAUUGGGUUCUCUGGUUGCCAGAAGUGCACGGCCGUACUCCGGAUGCUUGCAUAUGGCACGACCACUGAUUUGUGGGGCGAGUACCUACGGAUGUCUGAGAGCAUAUGCAGAGAUGUCGUGGUCAGGUUUGCAACUACUAUGGUUGAGGUGUUUGGACCUCCAUACCUGAGAGAACCAACUGUGGCAGACACUGAGAGGCUCUUGGCAAUCUCGGAAGCAAGAAGGUGGCCAUGUUUCCUUGGAUCUCUGCAUGCAUUGGAAAUGGAAGAACCACCUGAAGGCUUUACAAGGGCAAUAUCACGGUCAUGUUAAGAAGCCCACCAUCAUUCUUGAGGCAGUUGCAUCACAUAAUCUUUGGAUUUGGCACACUUUUUUUGGCAUGCCCGGUCUCACAAUGACAUCAAUGUGCCAAAGCGAUCAUCAUUGUUUGCGAGGCUGAUUGAAAGAAAAACUCCUCCUUGCUAAUAUACUGUCAAUGGACAUCAGUACAACAUGAGCUACUAUGUUGUGGCUGUAUCUAUCCUUCGUGGGCUACCUUUUUCAACACCAUCCUUAACCUAGUUUUCUAGAAAAAGUCUCAUUUUGCCCAAAGACAAGAAGCAGCUAGAAAUGAUAUCCAGAGGGUAUUUGGAGUUCUGCAGGUCCGUUUUGCAAUUGUUCGUGGACCUGCUAAACAAUGGAUCUAGAGACCUUGUGGGAGGUUAUGACAUGUUGUGUGAUCAUGCACAAUAUGAUCGUCGAGGAUGCUGCCACGUCUCUAGAAUUUAAGAAAAUGGUUGAUCCUAUCGAACUUCCAAACCAGAAUCCGAGUACAUUUGAAGGCUUUAUUCAAAUGCAUCAACAAAUUCGGCAUCGAGCAACUCACGAGCAGCUGAAGGAAGAUCUAUUGAGCAUCUUCGACGGUCAAAGGCCUAUGUAUGUGGCUAUUUAAACAUGCGGACUUUCAGAAAAAAAAUAGAGGCCGGAUGUAUGCGGGCAGCGUUGGAUGGUCGGCUCCUGCAUCCUUGUCCGCGGACUGGUCUUCCUCUGUUCGCGGAUAAAUGCGGGAGGAAAUUUGCGGGUCACUGUUGGAGAUGUCCUUAUUGAUCUAAGUGGUUGAGACCGAAAGAAACUAUUUGAACAUUUUUGGAUGAGAAAAAUGAUCUCAUCUACCUGUGUUAUUGAUCUAAGUGGUUGAGAAGAAAAACAUAUAGGAACAUUUUCGGAUGAGAAAAAUGAUCUCACCUAGACGGGGACCAUUAUCUCUGAUGAACAAAUAUCAUUAUUAUUUCUGAAGUAAAAAUAGCAACCGUAUUGUAGCAAUUGAAACCGGGUUGCGUUUUCAGCACAUGACCCACCACUUCUAUCUGUCCUCUGAAACGCAUCUUCUCCUUCCUUCCCUAUAAAUACACGAGUGCCACUUCCUCAGGAAAACCAGAGUGAUACUUCCGUUUGACAACCUAACACACAACAGAUACUCUUUCAGCCAGGAGACACAGAUCUCACGCCCUCUCGAGGCACUGCAAGCUCGGCAACGAUGAUCGGCGAAAUGGACGCGGACAUGGUCGUAGGAUACUUCGGCGGCAAGAGCAUCCUCAUCACCGGCUCAACUGGGUUCUUAGGAAAAGGUACGUGUUCAUGCACGGCUAAUCGUUCAGGAUGUGCGCUGCGUUUUAGCUGAUCAUCUCAGAGGGCCAUACGCUGGUUGUUCUGAUCUGAGGGCAGUUCUCGUGGAGAAGAUACUCAGGGUGCAGCCUGAUGUCAAGAAGCUCUUCCUCUUGGUUCGCGCCCCCGACGUCGAAUCCGCAAAGCUUCGGAUUCAGACUGAGGUGAAGUGUUUCAUUCUGGCCUCUCUCUCUUUGAUUUCGAUAACAUGUCUUGUAAGUUGUAACUCCCCCGCGUCUGAACUUUCGUCGCCAUUUUAAUUUGUUCCGGACAAUACAAUCCUUGCUUACUUUCUGAACUUCUCUCUGCCAUUCAAGAACAGAGGGAACUUCAGAAAUAUAGGUGAUGUCAAAACUCGUACUGCACGGAGAGAAGUUCAGUAUUAUUGUGUGCACGUGCGCAAAUAUAGGUGAUGUCAAAACUCGUACUGCACGGAACUCAUGCACACCUUAUGCAUUUCUCGAAGCUUUGCUCACAAAAGAUUCAUGCGAGUUCCCUGCCCAUUUGGUUUAAAGUAGAUAGGCACUUGAGUAAAGAAAAGAGAGUCUUGACUUCUUUUUCGAAAAGGAGGGAAACCCCCCGGGCUCAGCAACAAAAAUAAUUUUGCUGAAAGUUGUUUGUUGUCUUGAUCAAUAAUUCCAUAUCAAAGACUGUUUUCUACAAAAUGUAUUUUCUGCAAAUCAAUACCACAGUUAUUUGUUUGCUAGAUAUAUCAAGCAAUUCGUUUACUUCAAUCAGCCAUACACCAAUAUUCAGGUCAGCAUAAAUGCAUCUUGCUGUCCACCGAUAGAAGUAGGGGUCAUGAAUGAAUCAUGUGAAGACAAUUAAAUUUACUCCACCCAUUCACUCACGAGAUGGAUGUUUCUUAUUGAGCAAAUCUGCGGUGGAAGCUGCAGAAAUCCUUUCAGUGGAGUAAAGACAGUAGAGUAGGAAGCAGUGCCAAAUUACCGCAAAUAUCUGUGGGGAAAUGAAUGGCAACAGAGCACGAAAAAGGGAGAAGGAUGGGAGAUAGAUGGACACGGUAGUAGUCGAGGCUUCUCCAGUGCACUUGACAAAUAAACUUAAAAUUUUGCAGGUUUCCUGAAUCUAGUAACAAGUCUGCAAUUGUGUUAGCAGCAUUCACUUCUCAGAAAUACUUCCUCCCCAGAGUAAUUCUAGAACUGCAUAGUACUGUAGCAGUAAUUUAUGAACGCUGUUUCGGUAUUUUUCAGGUCACAGGGAGGGAGAUCUUUCUAGUUCUGAAAGAAAAACAUGGUAUGGGGUUCGACGAUUUCAUCGAAGAAAAGAUAUGCCCUUUGGCAGGAGACAUCAUGUAUGAGAACUUUGGACUAGACACUGCCAACCUGAGAGAAUUGUCCAAGGACAUAGACAUCAUCGUCAACAUAGCUGCGAUUACAAACUUCUCUGAAAGGUUUGAGCCGGUGUUUCCUUGUAAGAUACUGUAUUAGUUUUUCUUUCAACACGAAACGGUAGGAAUUUCUUCCCAGUGCAUGUAUUUGUAAGAGAUUAGCGACAUGACAUAGACGCUGCUUGAAAUAAUUGAUCAAGAUAUGAUGCCUUUUCAGAUACGACGUGGCUUUCGAUGCUAACGUGUUGGGAGCGAAGCACGUGUGCGCAUUCGCAAGGAAGUGUACGAAACUCAAGAUGCUGCUUCAUGUUUCAACUGGUGGGAAAUCAAUAAGACUGAUCAAUGCAUUGUGGAUUACAUAAAUGGAUUACAUGAUUUGAACAGCCUAUGUAGCUGGUGAACAAGAGGGGCUAAUACUAGAGAAGCCAUUCUUGAUGGGUGAGACACUAAGGGAGGGCACACAUUUGGACAUCGAAUCCGAGUUAACUCUGAUCAGAGAGACCAGGCGAGAGUUGAAGGACAACUGUUCUUCGGAGAAGGCUGAGAGGAGAACCAUGAAGGAGCUUGGCCUCAAGAGGUCAGACAUAAACAACAACAGCAUAGAUAUGCUUGUGCACUUCUUUCUGCUGCAACUGGUUAGCCUUAAUGCAAUUCUGACACAUCUGUUACAUGCAAGGUUUUGGUUACCGAAUAAGGCAAUUUUACCGAGGGGCACGGAUAAAUGUGGUUACCACGGUUACCGAGAAAUACCGAGAAUAUUUCAAGCGAAUUUUAUAGUUGAAUUUUGAAUUCAAAUAAGUGAAUGAACGAAUAUUCGAACCAGAGACCUCUCAAAAUAGGAACUAGGUUGAUACCAACAUGCCAGAACCAACUCUCAUGGGAUUAAUUAGAUCCUACGUACUUUACUGUAAAUCGAGUGUUUAAAUUCCAAAAUUUCAAAAAACUGGUAUUUUUUGCUCGGUAUGGCGAUUUACCGAGGGGUACGGAAAUACGUGGUAACCAUGGGAAAUCUUGAAAUUUCGACCGGUAACCAAAACCUUGGUUACAUGUAUGAAUGAAGGGCUCGGCAGUUUGGGUGGCCAAACACCUAUGUCUUCACCAAGGCAAUGGGGGAGAUGCUGCUGGGGCAUCUGCCAGGGGAGCUUCCCGUGGUCAUCCUCCGGCCGAGCAUCAUAACCAGCAUCCUCAAGGAGCCAUUACCUGGAUGGAUGGAAGGAAUCAGGUGACAGAAACUCUGUCAAGAAUCUGUUUCUUGAUUAUUUUCUCAGGACAGUAAACUACUCCUACAACAAUAAGCAUUAAUUGAAUGAACAUCUUCAUGUUCGGGUUCCGCAGGACGAUCACGCGGUGGUCAUCGGCUACGCCAAGCAGACCUUGCCAUUCUUCCUAGUCGACCUCAGCUUGAUAAUGGACGUGGUAAUUAAGUUUUCUCAUGACAAAGUUUUUUUUUGAAAAGUGCUUAUUACAAAGUUAACCCGGAGUAGCAUACCUAGUAAGUUACCCAACUGUUUUGGACAGAUUCCUGGGGACAUGGUGGUGAACGCUAUGAUGGUGGCCAUGGCGGCCCACUCGGAGGAGCGGGCGCAGACCAUCUACCACGUGACGUCGUCGCUGCGCAACCCGGCGCCCUACGCGAUCCUGGCGGAUACGGGGCACCGCUACUUCUACGACAAUCCGCCGCGCACGGGGAGGAACGGCGAGCCCGCCCGGCUCAACAAGAUGCGCUUCUUCAGCACGGUGGCGCGGCUGAGCCUGUACAUGGCCGUCAGGUACAGGCUCCCGCUCGAGGUAAAUUCAAAAUUAGCCCGCCAUUUCAACAUUGGAUGGGAAUGGGACUCAUUGGAGUGAGAUGAGGAUGAGACUACUCAAUCAAUCUGCUGGGUUGGUUGGAUGGAGAACAGAUGCUUCGGCUGGUGAACAUUGCGCUCUGCGGCUUCUUCUCGCAGCGCUACGACGACCUCAGCAGGAAGUACAGGUUCAUCGUGCAGCUCAUCGAGCUCUACGCGCCCUACAGCUUGUUCAAAGGCUGGUACGUACGUACGCGUCAAAAUGUAGUAACAUUUUUACAGUGCGUAAGAUAAGCACGGCUCUUUGACUUGGUUUUUUCUCGACCGUGUGAAGCUUUGAUGACAUGAACACGGAGAGGCUAAGGAUGGCGAUGAAGAAGGAGCAACAUAGCAACAUUGCAGAAGAAUUCUACUUUGAUUUCGAUCCCAAGUCCAUCGACUGGGACAGCUAUUUCUAUGGUGUUCACAUCCCCGGUGUGCUCAAGUACAUGCGUGAUUGAGUUACAAGUAUUUAACUAGUCAAAUUUCCAGCCAGUUGCUACCACUGAAACUUGAGAACAAUUGUCUCCCUUUUUUUGGGAAUGAUUUAAACAUUGAUCGCCAUGCCUACCACGCGGUAAUAAUUGUCUCCCUUUGUUAUGCGGCUCUUUUUCUUCUCCGGGUUUUAUUAUGCAACUCUAAUGAAUAUAUCUAUCUUACUCCACUAGUUAUGCAACUCCCACGACCAUGAAUGUAUUACAAAUGUUGUUUUUUUCACAAAAUGGAAGUUGAAACCCAUGACCACUGCAUAGUGUGAUGCACAUAUACAUCCUUAUUAGCGUUAUGCAACCAACAUCCGAAGAAGCACAAAAUGCAGAAAAUAAAACCAAUCACAACCAACCAAUAACGGGAUUACACUCCUAUACAUAAUCUCUUAUUGGACCGCUAUCCAUUGUAUCCCGUGCGACCAUCGGUUGGAAAUCAAAGGCCAUAGAUGUCCCACACAUUAUAAAGAGCAUCAUAUACGGAUUCAUCCUGUAGAUCAGAAGAUAACCCUGCAAGAUCCCCUAAAAAAGAUAACUUGAAAGAAUUUUGAAAGGUUUCUUCUAUUAUAAACACUAGUAAUUAUGGUAAUUCCAAAUUGCUCACAAUAAGACACACGCUUUCACAUGGACCCCCACCAGCUAGUCCCCAACGUACUUUUGUAUGAUGGUAGGUGGAGACAGAUGAAUGGCUAUGUGAAUCGUACGCCAAGUGAGAGCAGCAAACAUGCAUGAAAUAAAAAAAGAUGUUGAAUCGGUUCCUCCUGUUCACAAAACAAUAUUUUCCGCAUCCCUCCAUCCACGAUUGGUCAAAAUAGCACCAUGAUUGAGAUACCACAUUAAAACAUUGAUCAAAAAGGGUACUUUUAAUCUUCGAAAGAGACUUCAUACUGAAAGUUACUUCCUCCGUUUCAAAAUAGAUGAACCAACUUUAUACUAAUUUUGGAAUGACCCAACUUUGUACGAAAGUUAGUACAAAGUUGGUUCAUCUAUUUUGAAACGGAGGGAGUACCUAGGAGUCCAUAAGAUCAGUGUGCAUGGACUUGACGGAGAAACACUAGGAGAGUGCAACUUUCGGCUGAAUAUAUCAGGUUUCCUGUGAUAAUUAAGUUGAUGGCAAUCAACCGGCGAACUAGAUACAGCGAUGCAAUCGACUUAUCCCCAACUAGAGCCCGACGUAAUUGAAUGUUCGGCGACUUCCCUAAAACAGGUGCACCAAAAACCUCUUUUUGUUGUACAAUACUAUAUAGAGAUGUGUACUGAAGGCUAGAGGUGCAUCUCCAAGCCAUGGGUUGUCGCAAAAUCUCAUGGUCUUUCCAUUGCGUACCCAGAAAAUCCUUAUGAAGAAUUCGUUUUAAUCAAGCCUUUCCAGUAUGCCGAGUCAAACGGCUUGUCGAAACCUGUUGGAAAUAUUGCCUUAGAGGUAGUAGUAAAUGUUCUUAUUUAUUUCCAUGCUUGUAAUUAAUGUUUACAUUUCUAUGCUAGAGUUGCUAUGGUUCUUGAAUAUAAGAUUUAGAGGAAAACUCAUAUGCAUGUGUGAAAACUUAGAUUCUGCCUUGAGUGGUUGGAUCUGAUGGCGGCGGUGAUUGACUGCUCCCUUCUUGAAGGCAUCAUUGUUGAAAAACCUCAUCGCUCGUAUGGUGUCAUGAGAUGGUUGGCGCGGAUAUGAUCAUUGUCGUAGUUUGCCAAUGGUGGAUCGGGUCGCUUUGUUUUUUUUUUUCUUGUCUACGCAUAGCUUUGGUCUUAUAUGACUUUCCUACUUGCCGGCGUGUUUUUGUGUGUGCGUCUUGGUGUUGGUUGUGUGCAUUCUAAUUAUGCAGAGGUCGGGUGUGUGUUCAUUGUGUUUGUAUACUCUUGAUGUUCCAUUUUAUGUUGAUAAAAUCCACCCUUUAUCGAAAAAGUAGGUUGCUAGUCUCUUGACACAACUUCAACACCCAUAUGCUUUAUUGUUAAUGAAGCCGACAAAUGUGUCUACUACCACUAUGGCGGGGCGAAGGAGUAAUCCCUACUUGUAUGUUGAUGACAUACUAAUAUUUGGGACCACACUCAAAGUCAUUGACGUGGUCAAAACUUUCUUAUCUCGAUGUCAUGAGAUGAAUGACCUUGAAGAAACCGAUGUUAUCAUAAACACCAAGCUGCUGAGAAAUGAAAAUAAUGGGAUUACUCUUGUGGAAUCUCAUUAUGUGAAAAAGGUGUUGAGCAUAUUUGGAUAUUUCAAUUGCAAAGCUUCUCUAACUCCUUAUGAUUCUAGUAUAUUGCUUCAAAAGAAUCAAAUGGCUACUAGAGAUCAGUUGAGAUACUCUCAGAUAAUUGGCUCGCUCUUGUACUUAGCUAGCGCAAGAGGCCAAAAAUGUCAUUGUGAGCAAACUAAGUUGUUUAGUUUCCAAUCUGGGAUAUGACCAUUGACAUGCUCUUGAGAGAGUAAUGCGAUAUCUAGAGGGAGCCAUGAGCUAUGACAUUUGCUAUAAUGGAUUGAAGAGUAUAGUGACUCAAGUUCGAUUUUCUGAUGCUGAUGAGAUAAAGGCCACAAGUGUAUACAUACACUAGUAGAAAAGGGGGCAAUGGUCCAGGCCGGGUUAGCCCAUUAGUCCCGGUUCAAUCCAGAACCGGGACCAAUGGGGGCAUUGAACCCGGUUCGUGAGCCCCGGGGGCCGGCCGGGCCACGUGGGCCAUUGGUCCCGGUUCGUCUGGACCUUUUGGUCCCGGUUGGUGGGACGAACCGGGACCAAUGUGCCUUGCUCCUGGCCCACCACCAUUGGUCCCGGUUGGUGGCCUGAACCGGGACCAAAGGCUUCCCUUUAGUCCCGGUUCAAGCCACGAACCAGGACCAAUUAAUUGCCUAUAUAUACCCCGCGAGCAGAGCACUCUCACUGCUCUGUUUUUCGUGGCCGGCGAGGAGAGAGCUUUGUGGUGCUUUAGCUCACCUCCUAUGCACACGAGGUGUUCGAUGGAAUGCCCGAGCCACACUACUUAAGCUUUCUCCUCUCCAAGCUCGACCUCCAAGCUCCAUUUUCCUCAAUAUUUGUCUAGGUUUAGCGGUCCGUCACGUCCCGUCCCCGUCUUCACCACCGUCGAUCGCCCGCGCCGAUCUCGUGUCGGCAUCACCGUGGUGAGCCUCUUAUUCUUAUCUUCUUUCUGAAAGGAAAAAAAAUUCUUACUUUUAUGUUUAUAUAGAUACUUGUAUAAUUUUCUUACUUUUAUUAUUGCAUCUUAUAUAGUGCGAUGGUUUUGGUAUCCGCCCCCGUCGGCCCUCGUCCUGUCUAUGAUUCGGAUGUGGUAUAUAUUAUCUUUUCAUAACUAUUGGUUCAUCUAUUGUUUAUGACAAUUAUGCCGACCAACGUGACAUAGAUUUUAUUUAUCUAGGAGGUUGUUGAACUGGAAAUUCAAACCGACCCUAUUGUCGAGAGGUUAAAUUUAGUUGAAGAAGAAAACAAUUUGUUAAAGGAAAAAAUUAGAAAAUUUGAGGAGGAGAAGAUGAUAUUGGAGUUGCAUGUUGCGGAUGUCGUGGAUGAUCACAAGAUCAAGAUGGAUGCAAUGCGCUUGAAGAUUAAAAAGAUUAGAAAAUAUGCCAUUCAUACCGAGGCUUGGUAUCAUUAUAUCGUUGGAUCAGUUGUUACAUUGGUUGCGAUUAUGAUCGCAUUUGUUUUCGCAUUGAAAUAUUUUACAUAGUUUUAAUGUAUGAUUUAAUUAAUUUAGAUGCUCUGCAGAGCUUUAUGUUGUUAGAUGAGAACUAUGUAUGUACUUUGGUUUUAAUGUGAUGAUGAACUUCUAUUAAUUUGGUCACUUAAUUAUCUAUUCAUGAUGUUCUGUAAUGAUUUUUGACACAAUGCACGCAGAUGAACCGGCAAUGGAUGUACGGUUCAAGACACACCUCCGAGUACAUUAAGGGCGUGCAUGAAUUUUUCGAAGUGGCUGAGGCAAACAAGCAGAAUGGUUUUAUGUGUUGUCCAUGCCCUAUAUGUGGGAAUACGAAGUCUUACUCUGACCAGAAAAUCCUUCACACCCACCUGCUUUACAAGGGUUUCAUGCCACACUAUAAUGUUUGGACGAGGCACGGAGAAAUAGGGGUUAUGAUGGAAGACGACGAAGAAGAAAAGUGCGAUGACAACUAUGUGCCCCCUGAAUACGGUGAUGCUACUGAAGAUCAAGAGGAACCAGACGAUGUGCACGAUGAUGCUGCAACAGGCGAAGGUGCUGAAGAUCAAGAGGAACCAGACGAUGUGCCCGAUGAUGAUGAUCUCCGUCGGGUCAUUGUCGAUGCAAGGACGCAAUGCGAAAGUCAAAAGGAGAAGCUGAAGUUCGAUCGCAUGUUAGAGGACCACAAAAAAGGGUUGUACCCCAAUUGCGAAGAUGGCAACACAAAGCUCAGUACCGUACUGGAAUUGCUGCAGUGGAAGGCAGAGAAUGUUGUGCCUGACAAAGGAUUUGAGAAGCUACUAAAAAUAUUGAAGAAGAAGCUUCCAAAGGAUAACGAAUUGCCCGACAGUACAUACGCAGCAAAGAAGGUCGUAUGCCCUCUAGGAUUGGAGGUGCAAAAGAUACAUGCAUGCCCUAAUGACUGCAUCCUCUACCGCGGUGCGUACAAGGAUCUGAACGCAUGUCCGGUUGCGGUGCAUUACGGUAUAAGAUCAGACGAGAUGACCCUGGUGAUGUUGACGGCGAGCCCCCCAGGAAGAGGGUUCCUGCGAAGGUGAUGUGGUAUGCUCCUAUAAUACCACGGUUGAAAUGUCUGUUCAUAAACGGAGAGCUUGCAAGUUGAUGCGAUGGCACAGUGAGGACCGUAAGAAAGACGGGAAGUUGAGAGCACCCGCUGACGGGUCGCAGUGGAGAAAAAUCGAGAGAAAGUACUGGGAUGAGUUUGCAAGUGACCCAAGGAACGUAUGGUUUGCUUUAAGUGCGUAUGGCAUUAAUCCUUUCGGGGAGCAGAGCAGCAAUCACAGCACCUGGCCCGUGACUCUAUGUAUGUAUAACCUUCCUCCUUGGAUGUGCAAGAAGCGAAAGUUUAUUAUGAUGCCAGUUCUCAUCCAAGGCCCUAAGCAACCCGGCAACGACAUUGAUGUGUACCUAAGGCCAUUACUUGAAGAACUUUUGUAGCUAUGGAAUGGAAAUGGUGUACGUACGUGGGAUGAGCACAAACAUGAGGAAUUUCACCUAAAGGUGUUGCUGUUCGUGACCAUCAAUGAUUGGCCCGCUCUCAGUAACCUUUUAGGACAGACAAACAAGGGAUACCACGCAUGCACGCACUGUUUACUUGACACCGAUAGUAUAUACCUGGGAAGCUGCAGGAAGAAUGUGUACCUGGGCCAUCGUCGAUUUCUUCCGACCAACCAUCAAUGUCGAAAGAAAGGCAAGCAUUUUAAAGACGAGGCAGAUCACCGGAGGAAGCCCGCCAUGCGUACCGGUGAUCACGUACUUGCUAUGGUCAAUGAUUUACACGUAAUCUUUGGAAAGGGUCCCGGCGGACUAGCUGUUCCGAGUGACGCUGGGGGACACGCACCCAUGUGGAAGAAGAAAUCUAUAUUUUGGGACCUACCCUACUGGAAAGACCUAGAGGUCCGCUCUUCGAUCGACGUGAUGCAUGUGCCGAAGAACCUUUGCGUGAACCUGCUAGGCUUCUUGGGUGUGUAUGGGAAGACAAAAGAUACAGUUGAGGCACGGGAGGACCUGCAACGUUUGCACAAAAAAGACGGCAUGCCUCCAAAGUAGUAUGAAGGUCCUGCCAGCUAUGCUCUUACCAAAGAAGAGAAGGAAAUCUUCUUUGAAUGCCUGCUUAGUAUGAAGGUCCUGACUGGCUCUCGUCGAAUAUAAAAGGAAUAAUAAAUAUGUCAGAGAAAAAGUUUCAGCACCUAAAGUCUCAUGACUGCCACGUGAUUAUGACGCAACUGCUUCUGGUUGCAUUGAGGGGGCUUCUACCGGAGAACGUCCGAUUAGCCAUUGUGAAGCUAUGUGCAUUCCUCAAUGCAAUCUCUCAAAAGGUGAUCGAUCCAGAAAUCAUACCAAGGCUAAGAAGUGAUGUGGUGCAAUGUCUUGUCAGUUUCGAGCUGGUGUUCCCACCAUCCUUCUUCAAUAUCAUGACGCACGUCCUAGUUUAUCUAGUUGACGAGAUUGUCAUUCUGGGCCCCGUAUUUCUACACAAUAUGUACCCCUUUGAGAGGUUCAUGGGAGUCCUAAAGAAAUAUGUCCGUAACCGCGCUAGGCCAGAAGGAAGCAUCUCCAUGGGCCAUCAAACAGAGGAUGUCAUCGGGUUUUGUGUUGACUUCAUUCCUGGCCUUAAGAAGAUAGGUCUCCCUCAAUCGCGGUAUGAGGGGAGACUGACUGGAAAAGGCACGCUUGGAAGGGACUCAAUAAUAUGCAGGGACGGAUAUUCUUGGUCUCAAGCAUGCUACACAGUUCUACAGAACUCUACCUUGGUGACCCCGUAUGUCGAUGAACACAAGAACAGUCUGCGCCCCAAACACCCGGAGCAGUGCGACGACUGGAUUACAUGUGAACACAUCAGGACUUUCAGCAGUUGGUUGGAAGCACGUCUCAGAGGUGACAACACUGUUUGUGAUGAGCUGUACUUGUUGUCCAGGGGACCAUCUUCGACUGUUACGAUUUGGAAAGGAUACGAGAUAAAUGGGAAUACAUUUUACACGAUUGACCAAGAUCAAAAGAGCACCAACCAAAACAGCGGUGUCCGCUUUGAUGCAACAACCGAGAGGGGAAAGGACACAUAUUAUGGUUACAUAGUGGACAUAUGGGAACUUGACUACGGACAUGAUUUUAAGGUCCAUUUGUUUAAGUGCAAAUGGGUCAAUCUGUCAGGAAGCGGGGUACAGGUAGACCCACAGUACGGAAUGACAACAGUGGAUCUGAAAAAUCUUGGGUACACUGACGAACCGUUCGUCCUAGCCAAUGAUGUGGCACAGGUUAUUUAUAUGAAGGACAGUUAUUUAUAUGAAGGACAUGUCUACCAGACCGAGAAAAAAAAAGAUAAGGAAGCGAGUACAUCAUACGAUGAGCCAAAGCGCCACAUAGUUCUUUCAGGAAAAAAGGACAUCGUGGGAGUGGAGGGCAAGACAGACAUGUCUGAAGAUUAUGAAAAGUUUCAUGAAAUUCCUCCCUUUAAAGUCAAGGCUGACCCCGGCAUCCUGAUAAGCAAUGAAGAUUAUCCAUGGUUACGGCGCAAUAAGCAAAUGACACAAGCGAAGAAAAAGUGAAGACUUUCUCCCGCAACUAUUAUGAUGAUACCAUGCCAACUUUGUAACACACGAGUAUGAUACCAUUGUCCGUUUUGUACAUGCACAUGCUAUGUGGGUGAAUUUAUGAUACCAUGCCAACUUUCAACUUUUUCAUAGUUCAUUUGAAAUGAUUUAAUGUCUUAUGGUUCGGCCCUCGUAAUAAUUAAAAAUAGCAACAAUAAGUAUUUUGUUGUAAGCAGAAACAAAAUAAAAUAAAUAAAGUAAGAAAGAAAACAAAAAAACAAAAAAAGUGUUUUCAAAUUUGAAAACUAAUGGCACUAACAGAAAGUUUAUAAUUUUUCUAAAACUAAAAGAAAAAAGAAUUAAAAAUAAAGCAAAAAACAAAAGAAAAUAAAUAAGGCAGAAAACAAAACAAAAAAACUGGAAAAUAAUUAAAAAUAGCAACAAUAAGUAUUUUGUUGUAAGUAGAAACAAAAUAAAAUAAAUAAAGCAAGAAAGAAAACACAAAAACAAAAAAAUGUUUUCAAAUUUGAAAACUAAUGGCACUAACAGAAAGUUUAUAAUUUUUCUAAAACUAAAAGCAAAAAGAAUUAAAAAAUAAAGCGAAAAACAAAAGAAAAUAAAUAAUGCAGAAAACAAAACAAAAAAGUGGAAAAAUUAAUAAUAGCAACAAUAAGUAAAGAAAACAAAAAAAAAUGCCUCUUACUGGGCCCCCACGGCCUGAAUACGACUAGAAACCCAAGUAUGGGCCAGGAUUCAGGCCCGCAGUAGGCCCAGAAGGCCCAUCAGGCAAAGCAAUAGCAAGUAGGCCCGAAAGCCUGCGGUGGAGAGGAGGUCGAGAGGGGUGCAGCAGUGGGGCUUAUAAACCACUACACACCCCUCUCAACUAGCGAGGUGGGACUAAAGGGGGAGGCAUUGGUCCCGGUUGGUGGCACCAACCGGUACCAAAGGCCGCCGGUUCCCGCCCUUUGGGCUGCCGAAAAAGAGGCCUUUGGUCCUGGUUGGUGGCNNNNNNNNNNNNNNNNNNNNNNNNNNNNNNNNNNNNNNNNNNNNNNNNNNNNNNNNNNNNNNNNNNNNNNNNNNNNNNNNNNNNNNNNNNNNNNNNNNNNNNNNNNNNNNNNNNNNNNNNNNNNNNNNNNNNNNNNNNNNNNNNNNNNNNNNNNNNNNNNNNNNNNNNNNNNNNNNNNNNNNNNNNNNNNNNNNNNNNNNNNNNNNNNNNNNNNNNNNNNNNNNNNNNNNNNNNNNNNNNNNNNNNNNNNNNNNNNNNNNNNNNNNNNNNNNNNNNNNNNNNNNNNNNNNNNNNNNNNNNNNNNNNNNNNNNNNNNNNNNNNNNNNNNNNNNNNNNNNNNNNNNNNNNNNNNNNNNNNNNNNNNNNNNNNNNNNNNNNNNNNNNNNNNNNNNNNNNNNNNNNNNNNNNNNNNNNNNNNNNNNNNNNNNNNNNNNNNNNNNNNNNNNNNNNNNNNNNNNNNNNNNNNNNNNNNNNNNNNNNNNNNNNNNNNNNNNNNNNNNNNNNNNNNNNNNNNNNNNNNNNNNNNNNNNNNNNNNNNNNNNNNNNNNNNNNNNNNNNNNNNNNNNNNNNNNNNNNNNNNNNNNNNNNNNNNNNNNNNNNNNNNNNNNNNNNNNNNNNNNNNNNNNNNNCCCGCCGCCCCUGCAAUUUCCAUAGCAAUUUUUUGCAUUUUUUUGUGUAUAUGUGUUUGUAUCUGUAUAUAUGUGUGUACAUGUUCAUAGUAUUUUUUUUCAUAAGUGUAUUUUUUUGGUUCAUUGCAUUUUUUUCAUAUAUAUAAUGUAUAUAUGUAUGUGGUAGCUAUAUAUAUGAUGAAUGGAUGUGGCUAUAUAUGUAUGUAUGAAUAUAAUGUUCAUAGCAUUUUUUUGUUUAUAUAUGUUUUUUCAUGUAUGUAUUAAUUUUUUAUUUAGGUUGUUAGUAGAUAUCGAUUUUAGGUUAGUGCAUUUUAGGUUAGUGUAGAGGAUAAAGUAAAAUAAGGAAAAGGAAGAAAAGAGGAAGAAGGAAGAAGGAAGAAGAAGAAGAAAAAGAAUGAGAGGAAAAAGGAAAAUAAGAAGAGGAAGAAGAGGAGAGGAAGAAGAGGAGAAAUAAAUAAGAAGAAGAAAAAAGAAGAAAAAGAAGAGGAGAAGAAGAAAGGAAUAGAGGAGAAGAAGAAAAAAAUAGAAUUUUAUUUUUAUUUUUUCUUCUUCUCAUUUAUUCCUUUCUUCUUCUCCUCUUUUUUUCUUCUUUUUUUUUCUUCUUCUUCCUUCUUCCUUCUUCCUCUUUUCUUCCUUUUCCUUAAUUAUUUUCCUUUCUCGUCGUUGUCGCGUCGUUGUCGAUAUAACCCCCUCGAGAUAACUUCGACAUGAGGGCCGGUCAAUAUAUAUACCCCCUCUCAACUGCGAUAACUUAUACAACGGUAGCACCCCCCUCGGCCCUCUCGCUCGACCAAAACUCUCGAGGACACCCAAACCCUAGAGAGAAUUGGUCUCCUACCCCCUCCCGCCGUGCCCCUACCCGACAAAUUAACUCUCUCGAGGCCACCCAAAUUUACCAAGUUAAAAUAGCGUUGUCGUCGAGGCCACCCCAAACCCUUGAAGCGUUGUGUCGAGGCGAUCCCAAACCCUAGAGAAGCAGCGUCGAGGCCACUAACAUGAGUCCUUAUUGUGAUUAGCUAGCUAGUUCCAUCUGUACCAUGUUUGAAUAAUAAUUGACAUGUUGUAAAUAUUUGCAGAAACUAUGGAGCACUCCCGAGACGAAGAAACAGAAGCGAUGUUGGGGGACAUAAUCGCAAAUGGAAGUGAUGAAGUUGCGUCAUUUCUCCUCGACACCGAUGGUCAGCUGGAAGGACUGGGUGAAGAAGAGGGCUAUGUUCAUGAUGGCUUCGGCCCAUUAAUGCCGGUACAAAAAGAGGACUAUGUUCAUGAUGGCUCCAAUGACACAAUGGAGGUACAAGAAGGAGACCGUGCUGACUGCUCCGGUGACCGAACCGAGUCUGGCCAGGUAUAUAUAUAUAUUAGUUAAGCCCGUGCUGACUAGUUAAUUGAUGCUUCCAUUGUUUUGGUAUAUGUACACAUAUUAAUUACUCUCAUCUUUCUUCCUUAUAAUUUCUAGCCCUCCGGAUCGAGCACAACUUCGGUAAGGAGACGAGGCCCGAAGGAAAAGUUGAGCUCAGAUAAAAAGUUUGAGAUCAUAGAAAGCGCGCCCGACGGCGAAGCGAUUGAACCCAUCUGGACAAGGAAGGCAUUUUCUGCUCAGUUCGGGGUUCUUGUUAGGGACAAGAUCCCGAUCAGCAUCCAGCAAUGGUAUAAGCCUAAGGAGGAAAACCCUGAGGUGUCUUAUGUCAAUGAUAUGGAAAAAGAAGAUCUUUGGACUCAGCUGAAGGCAAAUUUCACCCUACCGCCAGAGGAGGAUCCGGAGAAGCCAGUUAAAGAGCAAUUAAUCAAGUCUUAUGCUCUUAAGAAGAUGGCAACCCUAAUGAGGAGGUGGAGGAAAGAGCUGAACCAGUUUGUCGGAAAAAAAGACACCAGAAUUCAUCGGCAAAUAUGAGAAGAUCAAAGAUCACUGGCCCGCAUUUGUGGCCCACAAGACAUCAGAAAAGAGUAAGAAGAUGUCGGCGACAAACAAGAAAAAUGUUGCAAAGAAGAAGCUUCACCAACGCACGGGGUCAGGUGGCUACCUCAAAGCCCGGCCUAAGUGGUCCAAGGCUGAGCAUGAUCUGCUUGAAAAAGGGAUCGAACCAGAGACAAUAUACUGGCCAGACCGUUGCCGGACUUGGUUCUUCGGGGCUGGCGGAACCUUGGACCCUGUAAUAGGGAAGUGCCAUUGGACGGACGAGCAACUGCAAAUACCAGUCAAGAACCUUCGACACUAUAUCGAGGCAGCGCAGCAAGGGACGUUCAUUCCAAACAGGGAGAAGGACGAGCUCAUAAUGGACCUUGGUAAUCCUGAGCACCCUGGACGGACACGAGGCACGCCAGGCUCCAUUCCAUGGAAGGUUGGUUUUCCGGACGCAGGGGGUUACAAAACCCACGAGAGGAGGAAGAAACUGGAGCAGGGCCAACUGCAGGCGCUGCACGAAAGGGUAAUGGGGCUAGAGGAACGAGAAGAGGAAUGAGAAGCAGCAGAUCGCAGCAAACGACCUACCGAAGCUUCCCCCGAAGCUACCCUGCCAUCUCAGCGGAGAAGCGGCGUGGCUUCCACCGAGCUGCUUCAGUCGGAGCAUGUCUUGAUGGCUCCUGCGAGCUAUCCCGUGGAUGAUAUCACGGAGUCUCAAAAUUGCCACAUAAUGGCGCGAUGGAUGAAUUUGAAGGUCAAGGCGGUUGUUGGCUCUGUUUAUCCUAGUGGACCCGGCACAACUUAUCACUACCAGCCGAUUCCAGAAGGAUAUGCUAAGGUGAUGGUGGAUGAAAUAACAGAAGGAUUUGAGGACCUCCCGCUUGACCACCCUACCGGUGAAGGGGAGACUAGGCUGGGUUCUACUCUGAAGACUCCAUGCCUAUGGCGGAAGGAGCUCAUCAACCUUUCGAACUGGACGCCUCCGCCUCCUCCUCCUCCUCUGGCGAGUCAGGGCACUCCGCCUCCUCCACCGCCUCCUUCUCCGGCGAGUGACGAUCAGGGCACGCGUGGCGGCACUCCGCCUCCUUCUCCGGUGUGUGGCGGCACUCCGCCUCCUUCUCCGCCUGCGUCGGCACUCUCGAGCAGCCAACAGCCUCCUCCUUCUCCGCCUCGCCAGCAAGGGCGGAAGAGACCCGCCGCCGCCCCGGCUGCUCCGGCGCAUCGUACUCCUUCUCCUCCGCCUCGUAAGCAAGCACGAAAGAAGACAGACGCCGCAGCCGCUCCGUCUGCUCCGGCGUCUAGCAGCACAACCAGAGGCGGGAGGCAAUACAAAUACGGUCCACCUCUCAAGCCUCUAUAGAAGUUACCGUACGAGAGGACAGAGGAGGAAAACGAUACGAUUGUGCGGACCCACGUGAAGGAGUUCUUUGAAGGGGUGAAAGCAAAGAGACAUCCACCUCCGGAGGAGAAGGUAGAUCCGGUGAAAGCAAAGCGCACUAUCGAUGCCCUGAGGAAACCACCAAAGUCUCCACCGAGAACCAACUAUGAGCGCGUUACUGAAUAGACAUAUCUCCAAGCCCAGCGGUCGGGAACUACUGUCAGUGAUAAAAGGUUAAAAGAACGAGCAAAGGGGAAAAAAUUGCCCAGCUCGGCGAACAAGCACAGCAAUCGUGCCCCCCGCUCAAUGUGUCUAAUGCUCCGGGGACGGUGGCCGGUUAUGGCAAUCUUGAAGAUUACCUGCCUGGCGAUGCACUUCCUGAUUUCAUGGAGGUGGACGAACACAGAUACGAGUACGGGAAGCCUCUCGUCAAAGAUGAAAAAUCUCUGACAACAAUGAUGCGAAGAUUCCAUAGUUGGUACAUGAAAACCUGUAGAGAGUCUGAGGGGACGAAUAGUUUGUAUCUGAACAUUAAAGAGGAGCACAACCUCGUUUCAAAUGAUCUGUUGUGUGUUCCAUUUGAUGAGUUCUUCGCGUUCUUCAAUCAAAAGGCCCUCGAUAAAUUAAUGGUAUUUUGCUACUGCCUGUAAGUACUAUUUCUGUCAUUAAGUCUCUAUAUAUAGCUCGUCUCUUUCAUUGCAUGUAUUUAUAAUUAAUUAUCCUCAAUAUAUUAUGCAGAUUGAAGAUCAUCGAGUGUAAAAAACAAGAAAUUUAUGAUAUUGGGUUCAUUAACACAAAUAUCAUAGAUGAAUUUCUGGUUGAAAAGGACGUCAAAGAGGCCGAGGACAACUUGCUACAAUCGUUGAUCAAAAAUCAAAACAAAGAUACCAUACUCUUUCCUUACAACGGCAAGUGAGUGUUACUGUCGUGUGCAUAUUCGAUUUCCCUUAUUACUCGAGCGAGGUUAUAGUAAUGUAAUUGAUGAGUUAUGCAUGCGUGCGCAGGUACCACUAUAUUCUUUUGGAGAUUAAGCUUGAGCGUGGACUAGUAACCGUCUUAGACUCGAGACGGAAAGAUCCCAAAACCUAUGGGGACAUGACUGAAAUGCUCAGCAAGUAAGUUCAAUCGAUCAUUAUCGCACCAUAUCGGCAACUUUUUGUUCAUUUCCUGAUAUCUCAAGUAAUAAUAAUUAUUUUCUUUGUCUUGCAGGGUUUGGAAACAGUUCACCGCAGAAGCUCCGGGACUGCCGAAGGAGCUGCGAUAUACAUACACGAAAGUAAGUACUACUAGCUAGCUAGUUGCGCGCAUUUCCCGUUGAUUCUAUAGCUAUACUUUCAUCAAUGCCAUUUAUAAUGCUUCAUUAUCAGUUUGAUUGACCUCUAUUUCUCGUAAAGUGCUUGUGGCAGGAGGAAGGGAAUGAUUUCUGUGGAUACUACGUGUGUGAGUUCAUCCACACCGCGACUUUGAAAAACAAGCGGGGCUACUCUAAAAGACAAUAUGAAGUGUGUAAGCAAUAAUAUUCACAAUUUCAUUUUAUUACACCAUCAUUUCUGUUGAGUUUCAUUCAUAUAUAUGUAUUAAUUAACCCCCUUCUUCAAAUUAGACGUGGCAGAUGCGGAAUGAACUCCUAGAACCAGAUCGCAUGAAAGAAAUUCAAGAGGAAUUGGCGAGAUUCUUUCUUGACCACGUCAUCAGUAAAGCCGGAGAAUACCAUGUGGAAAUUGAUUUCAAAUGCAAGGGGUUUGUAAUUAAGAGAUCUUAUACAUAUUGUACAUGUAUGUAGCCAGUAGCGUCGGAUACAUGAUAUGAAAACUUGUCGUUUGACCAAUCUCUCGGAGAAGGAGAGGUCAAUCGAUCACUUCUCUCGGUAUGCAUGACGAACUUCUGUACUGAAUGGUUCUCUCGAUCACUUAUGUAUAUAUAGUACGUAGCGUCGACCAAGCACGGACAUAAGAGAGGACACUUCUCUCUAUUAAUUAGCUAGCUAACACAAUAUAUGAAACACCUAANNNNNNNNNNNNNNNNNNNNNNNNNNNNNNNNNNNNNNNNNNNNNNNNNNNNNNNNNNNNNNNNNNNNNNNNNNNNNNNNNNNNNNNNNNNNNNNNNNNNNNNNNNNNNNNNNNNNNNNNNNNNNNNNNNNNNNNNNNNNNNNNNNNNNNNNNNNNNNNNNNNNNNNNNNNNNNNNNNNNNCCUCCUUUCAAAAAAAACCCCCAGCCACUGGAAUGCUGACGCGUGGAUGCCUUUUGAUCCUGGUUGGAGCCACCAACCGGGACCAAAGGCCCCCUGACUGGGCUCGACGCACAGGGCCACGUGGAGGCACAUUGAUCCCGGUUCGUGUUUGAACCGGGACUAAUGGGUGGAGGUAUUAGUAACGACCCAUUAGCCCCGGUUCAUGAACCGGGACUAAAGGCCCUUACGAACCGGGACUAUUAGGUGUUUUUCUACUAGUGAUAUUCCUACAGGGAGUAUAUGUUUAUUGGAAUCAUGAUAAUUAAGAGCAUCUACACCCGGAUAUGGAAAAUACGGCUCCUCAAACGCCCGCGGACACUCCCGGGCACGUCUGCAGGCAGUGACCGGUCACUCCUCAAAUCAACACAACUGCAUCCGGACAUCUCAUACUAGAUUCUCAAAUCCAUACAAAAGCAUGUAAACUUAAAAACCUACGUACUACGUAGCUACUUAUCGUCGAAGAUGUCGACAAUUUUGGUGCCCGACUCUAGGUACAUGAGCAGCAGCUGUAGCUCCGGCGCCUCCGGCUGCUCAGCUUCGGUCUCCUCCUCCUCCUCUAUCUCCGCCUCGAGUUCGGUGAAGAGCGCGUCGGACGCCGCCUGCUCCUGCCAAAGGAACUGUCAGUUGUCCUCCAAAUAGGUCUCAUCCUGGAUGGACUCCAGAAUGCCUGCUGCUCCACCAUCUCCACAGCUUGGGCGACGGCGAACUCCGCCUCUGCCUCCACCAUGCUNNNNNNNNNNNNNNNNNNNNNNNNNNNNNNNNNNNNNNNNNNNNNNNNNNNNNNNNNNNNNNNNNNNNNNNNNNNNNNNNNNNNUGCUCUGCCUCCUCCUCCAGAUCCGCCACCUCCAUCGGCUCCGGCAGCGUCUCUCCCUCCUCCUCCGGUUGCUGCUCCUCCUCCCCCUCCUCCGGCUCUAGCGAGUCCGGAGACAGCCCGGCAGUGAUGCAGGCGGCGUGCCUUGCCUGGAUCUCCUCUGCGAUAUGCCUCCGUGAGCAUAACAUACGUGGUGAUCACAGGGCCGGUCCUGAGAUUUUGGGGGCCCGGGGCAAACCUAAAACUCGGGGCCCUUCCGUAUAAGCAGUAGAGUAGUUGUAAUUGAUAUAUGUACAAAAUAUUACCAAUAAGCAUGUAAAUGCAUCUUAAAAAUCAAUUUUCAGGUCAUAAAUCUUUGUUUGCGGCCAAACACAUAUGCUCUUUAAACGUCAUGAUAACACAAAGUGCUAAAAAAUUGCAUGAAAGCUUGAAAAGUGCAAGCUACAUAUGGAUGAUGCAUACAGUGGCGAAUCUAGGACGUAAAUGCUGGCAGGCACAACUUCAAGGGCACGCUAGAGCCCGUUAAAGCCUGUUGAGUAGAAUCGCCCCUGGAUGCAUAUGAAGAUAAAUUACAUAAUUAGGGUAGAUCCAGAUUCCAAAAAUCCACACCAUACACAUAGAACACUAAUAUAGCACAACGGACUGCGUACAUGGUGCGUGUGACAGGGCAAACACCAGUUGUAGGAAUUAUGGGGCUCUUCUAGACCUAUGUCUGUGAAUCUUCCUAGAUGCAUCACGGUGGGUGCUGGAGCAAAUCACGUCACACAACACAACGAAUGAGCGACCGUGAACCCAUUAUAAAUCUAGAUAGAUAGAUAUGCCGAUAUGACAUGGGGAGUGAUAAGUUGAAGAUUUGAUAUUACCUUGAUUGGUCAGAUCUCGAAGAUAAUGCGAUGUGAAUUUGCGUCAGGCUCCGGAAGGAGGCGCUUAACAGCGUGCGUGCGCGUCCAGCGUCUGAAGACCAGAGGCGUGCUGCACUCCGGCGGAGGUUCGUCCAGCGCCGCCAGCAACUCGCAUCGCGACCCGGGGCAUAGGAUAGGGAUCGUAGGACUUGCUCUCGGAAGGAACUGACGAUUGCAACGUGGACUCCUGUCUCCAAGGCCCGUAGGCUCUCCCUCGGGAUCGUCGUGGCUGCUAGGCCCUUGCGGCCGCGUCAAUACUAUGCAUGCGAUCCUAAUCAAUCAAUCAGGCGGGCCUAAUACUACUAGUGAUUAGCGCCCCUGCCUCNNNNNNNNNNNNNNNNNNNNNNNNNNNNNNNNNNNNNNNNNNNNNNNNNNNNNNNNNNNNNNNNNNNNNNNNNNNNNNNNNNNNNNNNNNNNNNNNNNNNNNNNNNNNNNNNNNNNNNNNNNNNNNNNNNNNNNNNNNNNNNNNNNNNNNNNNNNNNNNNNNNNNNNNNNNNNNNNNNNNNNNNNNNNNNNNNNNNNNNNNNNNNNNNNNNNNNNNNNNNNNNNNNNNNNNNNNNNNNNNNNNNNNNNNAGCCGCCGGACCAUGGUGAUGCCGGACAACGUGGAAGAGCUGGGACAGCUUGGGGGAGUGGGAAGAGGAGGCGGACAGGCUCGAGUGGCGGGGUAGAGAGUGAGGAGGUGGAUGGGCUAGGGUUGGGGGCGCUGGCCAGCUUUGGCCUCGGGCGGCGAGCCAGAGCGGCGCCACGCGGCGACGGAGGAGGCGUCCGUUGAACCGCCGGGUUUCCAGACGUUUCCGCGAGGGACCCCAUCGUCAGUCCUACGUGACGGGCACGCUGAGGCGCCCCAUAUCCGCUCCAAAUUUGAACUGGAUAUGAGGGGUACCGGUCAGCCCGGGCGUUUGAGGCCCGCUCGAGGCGCUCGUCUGGAUCAGAUAUCCGUGACCGGGCGGGCCGUCCGGGCGAUUGAGACCGGUUUUGGGCGCUUCUAUAAAUGCUCUAAUCAAGCAAAAAUGCAAAUUGAAGAUAAGACCGAGAUCCCAGAAAGACAGUAGAACAUUUUUUUAAAGCAAAACAGUAGAACAAUAUGCAUAUAAUCAUACAUCACAGCCCGCCGUACGUACAAAGGCCCCACAAACCACCGUGCAAAAACCAACCCAAUGUAAGAGCGAGCAAGAAAGAGAAGAAUGAAUAGACCAGUCUCGGAGAAGAAGAACAAUCCUCUCCAGGCCCACGGAGAAAAAACAAAAUGACACACACGUAAGUAAGGUCAAGGUCGCGUUCAGAGCCUCCGGCAGCCUCGUCUCAG
rnacentral:lncRNA from 1 species